rnacentral:lncRNA from 1 species
UGUUUUUUUGUGUUUAGUUAGUGUUUGUGCCAAGUAGAACCGUUGGGAAGACUUGGGGAAAGUCUUUUUGAUCAUUGCUGUAAAAAAACAGAAACUUUAUUGCUCACAAGAAUUGCUGCCAUUUUUAUUUGAAAGGCGCUAUUUAGUUAAUUCUUUUCGCAGAUAAUUAAUAGAUAAAUGCCUCACGUCUAUCAAUUUAUUUUAGAAUUUUUCGGGUCCUAGAACUUGCGUUAGCUACAGAUUACUACAGACUGUUCUGUUUUUGACAGAUUCUGUUUUUCUUGUGUUGUUUGCUUAUUUUGAUAGAUCUAUGGCUAGUAAAAGAGUUUAUAAACCAUAGAGAAGUUGGAAUACAGUAGGUUUAACACCAAUAUAAAUAAAUAAUGAGUUCAUUACAGUACCUUGAAGUGGUGUUUUGUUUUCUUUCGCUAACGGAGCUCACGAGAUUUUCUAUUUUGAGUUUUGUGUUGUGAAGUUUUCAAGUUUUGGGUAAAGAUUUGAUGGAUUAUGGAACAAGGAGUGGCAAUAGCCUAAGCUUGGGGAUUCCCAUGGCACCCCAAGCUAAAAUUCAAGGAAACCAAAAAGCCUAAGCUUGGGGAUGCCCCGGAAGGCAUCCCCUCUUUCGUCUUCGUCUAUCGGUAACUUUACUUGGAGCUAUAUUUUUAUUCACCACAUGAUAUGUGUUUUGCUUGGAGCGUCUUGUAUGAUUUGAGUCUUUGCUUUUUAGUUUACCACAAUCAUCCUUGUUGUACACACACUUUGAGAGAUACUCACACGAUUGGGAAUUUAUUAGAAUACUCUAUGUGCUUCACUUAUAUCUUUUGAGCUAUAUAGUUUUUGCUCUAGUGCUUCACUUAUAUCUUUUAGAGCACGGUGGUGGUUUUGUUUUAUAGAAACUAUUGUUCUCUCAUUCUUCACUUAUAUUAUUUUGAGAGUCCUUUAGAACAACAUGGCAAUAAUAAAAACUUUCAUACAAGUGUAUUGAAUACUAUGAGAAGUUUGAUACUUGAUAAUUGUUUUGAGAUAUGGAGAUGGUGAUAUUACAGUCAUGCUAGUUGAGUAGUUGUGAAUUUGAGAAAUACUUGUGUUAAAGUAUGUGAUUCCCCUAGCAUGCACUUAUGGUGAACCGUUAUGUGAUGAAGUCGGAGCAUGAUCGGUCGGGGACGAGCGAAGGUCUUUUCCUACCAAUCUAUCCCCCUAGGAGCAUGCGUGUAAUACUUUGUUUCGAUAACUUGGAUUUUUGCAACAAGUAUAUGAGUUCUUUAUGACUAAUGUUGAGUCUAUGGAUUAUAUGCACUCUCGCCCUUCCACCAUUGCUAGCCCCUCUAAUACCGCGCACUUUUCGCCGGUAUCAUACACCCACCAUAUACCUUCCUCAAAACAGCCACCAUACCUACCUAUUAUGGCAUUUCCAUAGCCAUUCCGAGAUAUAUUGCCAUGCAACUUUCCACCGUUCCGUUAUUAUGACACUCUUCAUCAUUGUCAUAUUGCUUGCAUGAUCAUGUAGUUGACAUCGUAUUUGUGGCAAAGCCACCAUUCAUAAUUCUUUCAUACAUGUCACUCAUGCAUCAUAGCACAUCCCGGUACACCGCCGGAGGCAUUCACAUAGACUCAUAUCUUGUUCUAAGUAUCGAGUUUUAAUUCUUGAGUUGUAAGUAAAUAAAGUGUGAUGAUCAUCAUUAUUAGAGCAUUGUCCCAAGUGAGGAAAGGAUGAUGGAUACUAUGAUUCCCCCACAAGUCGGUAUGAGACUCUGGACAAAAAAAAGAAGAAGAGAAAAUAGGCAAAAAAAGAAAAAAAGAAAGAAGGCCCAAAGAAAAAAAUGAGAGAAAAAGAGAGAAGGGACAAUGUUACUAUCCUUUUUCCACACUUGUGCUUCAAAGUAGCACCAUGAUCUUCAUGAUAGAGAGUCUCCUAUGAUAUCACUUUCAUAUACUAGUGGAAAAUUUUCAUUAUAGAACUUGGCUUGUAUAUUCCAAUGAUGGGCUUCCUCAAAUUGCCCUAGGUCUCCGUGAGCAAGCAAGUUGGAUGCACACCCACUUAGUUUCUUUUGUUGAGCAUUCAUACACUUAUAGCUCUAGUGCAUCCAUUGCAUGGCAAUCCCUACUCACUCACAUUGAUAUCUAUUAAUGGGCAUCUCCAUAGCCCGUUGAUAUGCCUAGUUGAUGUGAGACUAUCUUCUCCUUUCUGUCUUCUCCACAACCACCAUUCUAUUCCACCAUAGUGCUAUAUCCAUGGCUCACGCCCAUGUAUUGCAUGAAGAUUGAAAAAGUUUGAGAACACCAAGUAUGAAACAAUUGCUUGGCUUGUCAUCGGGGUUGUGCAUGAUUUAAAUAUUUUGUGUGGUGAAGAUAGAGUGUAGCCAGACUAUAUGAUUUUGUAGGGAUAACUUUCUUUGGCCAUUUUAUUUUGAGAAGACAUGAUUGCUUAGUUAGUAUGCUUGAAGUAUUAUUAUUUUUAUGUCAAUAUUAAACUUUUAUAUUGAAUCUUAUGGAUCUGAAUAUUCUUGCCGCGAUAAAGAAAAAUUACAUUGAGAAAUAUGUUAGAAAGCAUUCCACAUCAAAAAUUAUUCUUUUUUAUCAUUUACCUACUCGAGGACGAGUGGGAAUUAAGCUUGGGGAUGCUAAUACAUCUCCAACGUAUCUAUAAUUUUUGAUUGCUCCAUGCUAUUAUAUUAUCUAUUUUGGAUGUUAAUGGGCUUUAUUCUACACUUUUAUAUCAUUUUUUGGACUAACCUACUAACCGGAGGCCCAGCCCAAAUUGCUGUUUUUUUUGCCUAUUUUAGGGUUUCGAAGAAAAGGAAUAUCAAACGGAGUCCAAAUGGAAUGAAACCUUCGGGAACAUGAUUUUCUCAACAAAUGUGAUCCAGGAGACUUGGAGUGGCCAUCAAGAAACAAGGGAGGAAGGCACGAGGCAGGGGGCGCGCCCUCCACCCUCGUGGGCCCUCCCUUGCUCCACCGACGUACUUCUUCCUCCUAUAUAUAUAUCCACGUACCCCCCAAACACCCAGGACCACCACGAAAACCUAAUUCCACCGCCGCAGCCUGCUGUACUCGAGAGAUACCAUCUCGGGGCCUUUUCCGGAGCUCCACCGGAGGGGGCAUUGAUCAUGAAUUGUGGGUUUAUGAUCCAGAUUAUCGAUGAACAAUAUUUGAUUCUCCUCUGAAUUCUUUUAUGUAUGAUUGGUUUAUCUUUGCAAGUCUCUUCGAAUUAUCAGUUUGGUUUGGCCUACUAGAUUGAUCUUUCUUGCAAUGGGAGAAGUGCUUAGCUUUGGGUUCAAUCUUGUGGUGUUCGAUCCCAGUGACAGAAAGGGAACCGAUACAUAUUGUAUUGUUGCCAUCGAGGAUAAAAAGAUGGGGUUUAUAUCAUAUUGCAUGAGUUUAUUCCUCUACAUCAUGUCAUCUUCCUUAAAGCAUUACUCUAUUCUCUUGAACUUAAUACUCUACAUGCAUGCUGGAUAGCGGUCGAUGUGUGGAGUAAUAGUAGUAGAUGCAGAAUCGUUUCGGUCUGCUUGUCUCGGACGUGAUGCCUAUAUACAUGAUCAUACCUAGAUAUUCUCAUAACUAUGCUCAAUUCUAUCAAUUGCACACCAGUAAUUCGUUUACCCACCGUAAUACUUAUGCUCUUGAGAGAAGCCACUAGUCAAACCUAUGGCCCCGGGGUCUAUCUUCCAUUAUAUUAAUCUUCCAGUACUUUGUUAUUUCUAUUGCCUUUUAUUUUACUUUGCAUCUUUUAUUUCUCUUUAUCAUAAAAAUACCAAUAAUAUUAUCUUAUCAUAUCUAUCAGAUCUCACUCUCGUAAGUGACCGUGAAGGGAUUGACAACCCCUUUUUCGCGUUGGUUGUGAAGUUCUUAUUUAUUUGUGUAGGUGCGUGGGACUUGAGCGUGAUCUCCUACUGGAUUGAUACCUAGGUUCUCAAAAACUGAGGGAAAUACUUACGCUACUUUACUGCAUCACCCUUUCCUCUUCAAGGGAAAACCAACGCAGUGCUCAAGAGGUAGCAGCGGUCUAAUUUACAAUCCUGUUGGGAGUAUCUAGCAGCCACCUCUACUUGGCCAUAUACUAAACUAACGGGAAUUUCUUCCCCAUUUGACCCUAGUGGUAUGACCCGGGCCAUGUGAUUCGGAUCCAGCUUGGUAUAUCGUGUUUUUACCAUGGCCCAGGCCUCUUGCGCACCCUUUUGGCAGGCCGAUAUCUUCCAUAGUCGGAUACGCCGCCGCGCUCCCUUGAACAGCUCUACAAGCUUCUCCAUACUCCCUGGAGGGGAGUCGGAUGGCCAUAAGGCCUUGGCUACACUCCGCAUUGCCAGCCGGGCUUUCUCGUGAACUGCGACAGCCCUUGCAGAAGAUCACUUGAUGAUUCGGACACCUCCUCUUUGGAACGGCCCGUCAAUAUACCUGCAAUCACAGCUAUAUCAGCUACUUUUACUUCCAAACUGUAAUAAGGUAAAUACGGACACAUACUGAAUAUGCCACCUUGCAAUUUUUUGUUCUCCUUCACGGAGUUGGCUAGUUGGGCUCGCACAUCCUUCAGCUAUUCGCCCAGCUGGGUGUUUGCAUCUUGGAGUUUGUUUUUCUCUUGUCUGGCACGGGUCAAAACCCGCUCGCCUGCGGCAUGCAGUCUUUUCGACUCUUUUUCCUGCAAUUGAUCCGAUGAUCCUGUUACGAGAUAAAGCCAAAGUGUUAACACGGUCGCUGUGCAAUAACUGUUUCUAGAUGGAGGGAAAUAUCACCGGAAGACGCCGCUUUGGAUUUUUCCAGUUCGGCGGUCACUGCGUUCAACUGCGUCCGGCACUUUUCUAGCUCUCGAGCUAACACAUCGUUCUUCUCCGACAGAACCUAGUCAUGCAGCGAUCCUCAAAUCAGUUGUCCCAACUACUUUAAGUCUUGGGGGCUACUGGCAUAUGGUUAUCAUAGUCAGACAAAGUAAACUUACCUGCACAUCUUUUAAAUGCUGCUUUGUGGCUCUGUUAAGCCCAUCUCGAGAAGCUCUGAUAUAUGCACCAGUCGAGCUGGAGGCGUUAAAUGCCUCUUCUAAAAAGCCAGGGUCUUGUAAAACGGCCCUGCGACGCCGAUGAUUCAUGGCGCUCUCCACUUCCGAGUUGGUGACGGAUACGUCAUCCAAAUCCUCGGCUGGAGGACAGUCCUGCGUCACCCCCACAUUAGCCCCCGUCUUCACGACAGGAUCUGGAUCCUGGCUGCGGGAAGUAUGGCCGGCAGGACCCCCGGAUAUAGUCCGGCACACCUUUUUCCUGAUACAGGGUAAACAGAAAGGUCACAGUUGGAUGUGAUUGCCAAGGUGCAUAUUUGCAAAUUCAUACCUCUUUGAUGAAGGCUCGGCCGUAUCUUCGUUUGCCUUCCUCUUCGAAGGCUUGCCUGGUGUGGGGACGCUCUCUUCGGAGAUGCCCCCGGGGCAGCAUGGCGCGUCGAAUGCCUCCGCUUUUGAGCACAGGACAGUGCGGUGGGUAAGGAGGAAUGAGAAAACUCUCUUGGACAAGGUAUCUUCGGAUUACUUACAUGUGAAGCAGGAAGGAGGCUGGGGUAAUCGACAAUGAUGGGUACAUCUGUACCGUCAUAGCUCAUCUGAUAGAAUAUUCCAUCCUCGAGCUCCACAAAUAUGUCCGGAUCUUCCUCAUAUUCGGGGUCAAGAUCCCAGUUGCCAUUCUCCGGCUGAGGGGUAGGGUCAUGGAUCCCCUCGACAGCCUCUCGCCAUUCCUGUUAUAAGCGGAUAAGAUACUGCCUGUCAAGAAUGAUUCAGGGACAGGAGUAAAAUACUGGAGCUGAAGCUUACCCAGCUGGGAGGAUUAUACAUGGAAAAUCCGUCUCGAUGUUGGAGAGGGGUGAACUCCUCUUUCUCCCCUUUAUACAGCUCGACCAGUAUUUUGGCCAGGGCGGCGGGGGUCUUCGGGCCCUUUCGACCAUAGCGUGAGAAGUCGUCCUCCCCGUUAUAAUGCCACAUGGGCAUCCCUCUGUAUUGGAGUGGCUGAACCCCCCGUGCUAUAGAGGUCGUCAUUACCUCGACUAUUGACAAUCCGGACUGGGCAAGCGUCUUAAUCUUGCCCAGCAGCAGGCUGAUCUCUGCACUAUCCUCUUCCUCGAGGCUCCGAGGACGCCAGCUAUGGCGUUUCUUCAGCGGAGCACUUGAAAACUUAGGGAGGCCCAUACGGACGGGGUCGGGUAGAGAGACGUUGUUGAUGUAGAACCAUUCGGAAGGCCACUCUUCGGAAGCUUUCUUCGGCGUGCCGGACAGGUAUCCGGUCCCGGCGAUGCACCACACUUCGGCGCCUCCCACUUCAAAAAUUGACCCACCUUGAUUAUGAGGGACAAGGUAGAACAGUCUUCUCCAUAAAUCGAAAUGGGCCUCGCAGCCCAGGAAUAGCUCGCAUAAAGCGACGUAACCCGCAAUAUGAAGGAUAGAGGCAGGAGUGAGACUGUGCAGUUGGAGGACGUAAUACUCCAGCAGACCUCGGAGGAAGGGAUGGAUCGGAAAUCUGACACCUCUUAACAAGAAGGGGACGAAGCAUACUCGCUCUCCCAUGGACGGAUUGGGGAAGUUCUCCGUUUGAGUCCCGCCCUUGAAGGACGUCAUCCCUACUCGUACGGGGACCAGGUCCGUGGGGGGAAGAAAGCCCUGUGUUUGCAGCUUCGCCAGCUGACUGUGGGAUAUGGAACAUCUCUCCCAAUCACCCUUCUUGGAGCCGUGGGGACGAGAGGAAGAGCCGGGAGCGCUAGCCAUGCUAGGUUGGUUUUUUCUUAGCAAGCUCUGAGUAUUUUUCGUGGGGUGUGGAAUGGAUCUGAGAUCUAUUCUCUUUAAAUAGGCACCUUUGUGGUAUGGUCGGGGUGGUAUAUGCAAAAAUACCCUGACAUCUCGCAUUCGCUCGACACGUGGAAACUGAAGUUGUUGAUGCACAGAAGCCGAUGAGUACAACAUUAAAUGGAAGGCCGGACAUACUACUUGGAAGUCAUCGGUGGAGGAACCCGCCUUGCAAUGCCGAACAUAAUCUAUGUGCCGAACACCUCGUCAUUGAAGACUGGUUCGGGGGCUACUGAGGGAGUCCUGGACUAAGAGGUCCUCGGGCGUCCGGCCUGUUAGCCAUGGGUCAGAGUGAUGGGCUGUGAAGAUACGAAGACCGAAGACUGUACCCGUGUCCGGAUGGGACUUUCCUUGGCGUGGAAGGCAAGCUUGGCGGCCAACUAUGUAGAUUCCUUUCUCCGUAACCGACCUUGUGUAACCCUAGGUCCCUCUCGUGUCUAUAUAAACCGGAGGGCUAGGUCCGUAGAUAGGCCGAGUACUCAUUACCAUACCCAUACAAGCUAGACCUCUAGGGUUUAGCCAUUACGAUCUCGAGGUAGAUCAACUCUUGUAAUACUCAUAUUCAUCAAUAUCAAUCAAGCAUGACGUAGGGUAUUACCUCCAUAGAGAGGGCCCGAACCUGGGUAAACACCAUGUCCCCUGUCUCCUGUUACCAUCGACCUAAGACGCACAGUUCGGGACCCCCUACCCGAGAUCCACCGGUUUUGACACCGACAGAGACGUCAUGGCGAUCUAGAUCUGUCAGAAAAAACAACUCGAAACAAGAACAUAGGAUAUUGCCGUGAUAUGGUGGUCAAAACCUUCGGGAGAUUAUAUAAUGAAUUUUUAACGACCAAAAGAAGUGUACUACGAGAAAACGGUGUCUGGAGGGCACAUGAGGUGGCCACAAGCCUGGGAGGUGCGCCCCCAGGGCUUGUUGCCUCCUCGUGCACUUUUUGGACUACUUCUUAUUUUCCUAAUUUUUUUAACUAUUCCAAAACUAAGUAAAAAUUGCUUUGGGAAAAGUUUUGGAGUCGGUUAACUCAUUGUAUCACAUACCUAUUCCUUUUCGAGGGUCUGGAGUGUUCUGGUAGGUUUCCCUUAUGUACUCCUCCGGUGUUAUGGUAUUAAUAAUAUUGGUUUAUACAUUUAUGGGAGUACCUGAGAUAUAAUGUUUAAUUCUUUGCUCAUUCACCACCUCGGGUUAUUGCCCUCGGUGUUGUUGAUCUUGAUGGCACCAGAACGGUAAACUUCCUUGAUAAUAUAAGGCCCUUCCCAUUUAGAGAGAAGUUUUCCUACAAAAAAAUCUUAAACGAGAAUUGUAUAGCGAGACAUGGUCACCUACACUGAAUUCAUGCUUUUCUAUCCUUUUCUCAUGCCAUCUUUUAACCUUUUCUUUAAAUAAUUUGGCAUUCUUAUAGGCUUGAGUUCUCCAUUCAUAAAGUGAGCUAAUGUUAAAUAACCUCUUCUCACCGGCAAGUUUGAAAUCAUAAUUGAGCUCUUUAAUUGCCCAAUAAGCUUUAUGUUCUAGUUCAAGAGGUAAGUGACAUGCUUUCCCAUAAACCAUUUUAUAUGGAUACACACCCAUUGGAUUAUUAUAAGAAGUUCUAUCAGCCCAUGAUGCAUCAUCAAGUUUCUUAGACCAAUUCUUUCUAGAUCUAUUAACAGUAUUUUGCACGAUCAAUUUUACUUCUGUAUUACUCAAUUCUACUUGACCACUAGACUGAGGAUGAUAAGGAGAUGCAAUUCUAUGGUUAUCAUCAUACUUAGCAAGCAAUUUUUGGAAAGCACCAUGAAUAAAGUGUGAACCACCAUCAGUCAUUAAAUAUCUAGGGACUCCAAACCUCAGGAAAAUAACUUCUUUAAGCAUUUUAAUGAAGGUACUAUGAUCAGCACUACUAGUUGGAAUAGCUUCUACCCACUUAGUAACAUAAUCAACAACAACCAAAAUAUGUGUAUACCCAUUGGAGGAAGGAAAAGGUCCCAUCUAAUCAAAUCUCCAAACAUCAAAUGGUUCAAUAACAAGUGAAUAAUUCAUAGGCAUUUCGUGAUGUCUACUAAUAUUACCAAUUCUUUGACAUUCAUCACAAGACAAGACAAACUUACGAGCAUCCUUGAAAAGAGUAGGCCAAUAAAAAAUAGAUUGUAAUACCUUAUGUGCAGUUCUAUCUCUAGCAUGGUGUCCACCUAUGCCUCAGAGUGACACUUGCAUAGGAUCUGUCCUAUUCAUGCUCAGGUACACAACGUCUAAUUAUACCAUAUACUCCUUCUUUAUAAAUGUGUGGGUCAUCCCAAAAGUAAUGUAUUAAAUCAUAGAAAAACUUUUUCUUUUGUUGGUAUGUGAAACUAGGUAGUAUAACUUUAGCAAAAAUGUAGUUAGCAUAAUCAGCAUACCAAGGAGUACUACGACAAGCAUUUAUAACAGCUAAUUGUUCACCAGGAAAGCUAUCAUCGAUAGGUGGUGGGUCAUCAAGAAUACUUUCUAAUCUAGACAAGUUGUAUGCAACGGGGUUCUCAGCUCCUUUUAUAUCAAUAAUAUGUAAAUCAAAUUUUAGCAGCAAGAGAACCCAUCUAAUAAGUCUAGGUUUAGAAUCUUUAUUUUCCAUAAGAUGUUUAAUAGCAGCAUGAUCGGUGUGAACAGUUACUUUAGAAUCAACAAUAUAAGAUCUGAACUUGUCACAAUCAAAUACAAUUGCUAAAAAUUCUUUUUCAGUAGUAGCAUAGUUUCUUUGAGCACUGUUAGAGUUUUACUAGCAUAAUGGAUGACAUUUAAUUUCUUAUCAACUCUUUGUCCUAGAACAUCACCAACAACAUAAUCUCUAGCAUCACACAUAAUUUCAAAGGGUAGGUUCCAAUCAGGUGGUUGGACAAUAUGUGCAGAGAUUAAGGAUUUCUUAAGUAUUUCAAAUGCUUCUACACAAUCAUCAUAAAAAUCAAAUGGAACAUCUUUUUGCGAUAGAUUAGUAAGAGGCCUAGAAAUUUUAGAGAAGUCUUUAAUAAAUCUCCUAUAGAAACCAGCAUGACCAAGGAAACUUCUUAUACCUUUGAUAUCUUUAGGACACGACAUUUUUUCAAUAGGAUCAACUUUAGCUUUAUCAACUUCAAUACCUCUUUCAGAGAUUUUAUGCCCCAAGACAAUACCUUCAUUAACCAUGAAGUGGCACUUCUCGCAAUUCAAGACAAGAUUAGUUUCUUCACAUCUUUGUAGAACUCAAUCAAGGUUGCUUAAGCAAUCAUCAAAAGAAGUUCCGCAAAUAGAGAAAUCACCCAUGAAAACCUUAACAAUCUUUUCACAAAAGUCAGAGAAUAUAGCAGUCAUACAUCUUUGAAAGGUAGCAGGUGCAUUGCAUAAACCAAAAGGCAUACGUCUAUAAGCAAAGGUACCAAAAGGGCAUGUAAAAGUAGUUUUUUCUUGACCCUCUUGUGAUACAGGUAUUUGGGAAAACCAGAAUAACCAUCUAGAAAGCAGAAAUGUGUAUGUUUUGAUAGUCUUUCUAGCAUUUGAUCAAUGAAAGGUAAAGGGUAAUGAUGUUUCCUAGUAGAUUUAUUUAAUUUUCUAAAAUCAAUUACCAUUGUAUAACCCAUGAAAAUUCUUUGCGGAAUCAAUUCAUUUUAUCAUUAGGAACAACAGUAAUAGCUCCCUUCUUAGGGACACAAUGAACAUGACUUACCCAUCUACUAUCAGUAAUAGGAUAAAUUAUACCUACUUCUAGAAGCUUUAAUAUUUCAUUUUUUACCACUUCUUUCAUCUUAGGAUUCAACUGUCGCUGAUUAUCAAUAACUGGUUUAGCAUCAGGUUCCAUAUUAAUUUUGUGCUGACAUAGAGUGGGACUAAUUCCCUUAAGAUCACCCAGAGUAUAUCCAAUAGAGGCUCGGUGCUUCCUUAGAGUUUUCAAUAAUUUCUUUUCCUCUGGAUCUGAAAGGUUAGCACUAAUAAUAAGAGGAUAUAUCUUCUUCUCAUCGAGAUAAGCAUACUUCAAAAUAUUGGGUAAUUGUUUAACGUCAAACACAGGAGCACUGUUGGGUGGUAGAGGAUCUCCAAGAGUCUCAACAGGCAAAUUGUGUUUCAAAACAGGCAUUUGUUUAAAGAAUAUCUCAUCUAUUUCAUUUCUUUCAUUCAUGAACAUGUUAUUUUCAUGGUCUAGCAAAUAUUGUUCUAAAAGAUCAGUAGGAGGCACGACAAUAGAAGCAAGAACAAUAAUUUCAUCUUUAUUAGGCAAUUCUUUAUCAUGGGGUUGUCUACGAAAUUUGGAGAAAUUAAACUCAUGAGACACAUCCCCGAAACUUACACUAACAGUUUGUUUCUCACAAUCUAUUUUAGCAUUAACAGUGUUCAAGAAAGGUCUACCAAAUAUAAUGAGACAAAAAUCAUCUUGUGGGGAACUAAGAACUAGAAAAUCGGUAGGGUAUUUUAUUUUCCCACACAAGACUUCAACAUCUCUAACAAUCCCAAUUGGUGAGAUAGUAUCUCUAUUGGCAAGUUUAAUAGUAACAUCAAUAUCUUCUAUUUCAGCAGGUGCAAUAUCAUUCAUAAUUUCUUGGUAUAAAGUAAAGGGAAUUGCACUCACACUAGCACCCAAAUCACAUAAGCCAUGAUAAUAAUGAUCUCCUAUUUUAACAAAGACAACAUGCAUGCCAACAAUAGGUGUAUGUUUAUCUUUAUCAUCGGGUUUAGCAAUUCUAUCAGCUGCAUCACAGAAAUAAAUAACAUGCCCAUCAAUAUUAUCGACCAAGAGAUCUUUAACCAUAGCAAUACUAGGUUCAACUUUAAUUUGUUCAGGGGUGUAGGUUUCUAGUAUAACUCUUACAGACUACAGCUGGAGCUUUAGCAUGUUCUUUUAUCCUAACAGGAAAAGGUGGUUUAUCAAUGUAAGCAGUAGGAAUAACAUGAUCAACAUUAUAAGUAAUGGUUUCUUCUUCAGCUUUAAUGGGUUCUACUAUUUUUACUUCAAUGGGAGGAUGAUAUUUAAGCCACUUAUCGUUAGGGAGAUCAACAUGAGUAGCAAAUGAUUCAUAGAAAGAAGCUACUAUCUCAGAGUCAAGUCCAUAUUUAGUGCUAAAUUCACGAGAAGCAUCGGCAACCAUUAUUUUUUUAACUCAAUCAAACUUAAGGUACCCGACUCCUUACCUUCGUCGAGCUCCCAAUCUUCAGAGUUCCGUUUAAUUCAUUCCAAAAGAUCCCAUUUGAAUUCAAUAGUUUUCUUCAUAAAGGAACCAGUACAAGAAGUAUCAAGCAUGGAUAUUGAUCAUUACGAGAAAGCCGAGCAUAAAAAUUCUGAAUAGUAGUUUCUCUUGAGAGCUCAUGGUUGGGGCAUGAAUAUAACAUUGACUUAAUCCGCCCCCAACCUUGAGUGAUACUUUCUACUUCACACGGCUAAAUAUUAUAUAUAUAAUUCCGAUCACUAUGAACCAGAUGCAUAGGAUAAAACUUCUGAUGAAAUUCCAAUUUCAAUCGAUUGUAAUUCCAAGCUCCAAUAUAAUCACAUAGCCUAUACUAUCACUACUGCAGGAUGCUGCUAAUGUGACACUACAAUUAGAGACACUUCGAUGAAACUGUGUGCGAUGCAAUAAUCGCAAACGAUGAUAUAAAAACACGUCAAAAAAGGUGCAAAACAUUUGCGAUGGCGGAUGCAUCAAACACGGUUUAGAUUUUAGUUGCGUGUGCGAUGUAGGGCAUACGGUUCAGUUCAAUUAACUGUUUGCAAUGAGGAGGAACAAAAGAAAUGGGUAGCCAGAUGAAGGUGUGUGCGAUAUACAGCAUACAGUUCUCUUGGAUGAACUGUUUGUGAUUAGGCAACACAAAAGAAACGGUCAGCCAGAUCAAGGUGUGUGCGAUAUACGGCAUGCGCUUCACUCGGAUGAACUAUUUGUGUUGAGACAAGAGAACAGAAACAGUUCAAUAUAACAAGAUGUGUGUGAUACGCAACAAACAAGUCUGUAAUCAGAAAUGUGUGCGAAGACCGAUAAUAAGGCAGAUGAUUGCUUCUAAUAAGACCUAUGUGAUAUGCUCUAUCUACACAACAUCCAUUGGCCAUUGGGCGAUGGGCACACAAUAAGGAUGCGAAGAGGUAUCCUAUAUCAGCAAGGACUAGCUAUUCCACCAAUAGCUCAUCUAAGAGAACUCUCAAGUUAACUGUGCUCGGGCUGGAGCAGCCAUUAGAUAGGUGACUGGAUGGAAAGUUGUCUUGAUGUUAAAUUAAUUGAUGGGAUGGGUCAUACAGGUCAAAUUAAAUGACCUCUAUGAUCCAUCCCAUCAGUUAAAUUAACCUCGAGGUCCUUGUUUUUUUAACACAUGUUAAAGAAAGGUCUAUCACAUAACUUUUUGACAAUGUGCGAUACGUGGCAUACAGUUGAUCCAUCCGGCUUGUUUGUGAUGGAAUAAGCUGUGUGUGUUAUGGGCACACGCUUGCUAGUAUACAACCGUUUGUGAUUGAUGAAUUCAUCACCGACGGGUUCCCUAGUGUGGUCUGUGUUCAUCUGAUCAUCAUCUACUUCUUGUGCUAGCUCGAUGUUCCUUAUAUGCUAAGUCUCCAUUAAUUGAUGGCGUUUUAUGAACACACCACCAUUUCCCGCAAUUUUCACACAUGUUUCCCGCCACCCAGUGAUAUUGCGCAUAAACCUAGGCGACGCGUGACGCACGGAGGCAACAAGCGCAGCCUGUAGCACAUCCACCUUUUCCAAGCAUGCCAACCCACCAAAGCACUGCCUCUGCCAUCAACCUCGCCGAUGAGGAAAACAAGCAGGCGCCACGGCCCGUCGAGGCUGAGGCGCUCCCCGGCAACGCGAUGGAUGAUGCCAUGAUGCGCGUCAUUGCCAGGGUUGAGCAGACCCUUGGCGCAUGGCGCUUGAGCGCCGCGGAUCAAGAUAGGCAUGUCAGCGCUGAGAGGCUGCAGCUCACUGCACAACAUGAUCGAUGGCGCGCCGCAGAGCAAGCUAGGCGCGUCUGCGCUGAUAGGCAGCGGCUCGCUGCAUGGCGAGACCGUUGGAGCACCGCAGAGCGAGAGGCGCGGCGCGCCGCAUAGCAAGAGCGGAUCCAUCGGCUCUUGCCUGCUGUCAACAGGGCGUCACAACUGGGUACACGUCCCUUUAGUACCUCCAUUCCUCUCCAUGAGUGGGCAGAGGCCCUCUGCGUCGUACUUGAAGGAAAUAUGCCCUAGAGGCAAUAAUAAAGUUAUUAUUUAUUUCCUUAUAUCAUGAUAAAUGUUUAUUAUUCAUGCUAGAAUUGUAUUAACCGGAAACAUAAUACAUGUGUGAAUACAUAGACAAACGGAGUGUCACUAGUAUGCCUCUACUUGACUAGCUCGUUAAUCAAAGAUGGUUAUGUUUCCUAACCAUGAACAAAGAGUUGUUAUUUGAUUAAAGGGAUCACAUCAUUAGGUGAAUGAUCUGAUUGACAUGACCCAUUCCAUUAGCUUAGCACCCGAUCGUUUAGUAUGUUGCUAUUGCUUUCUUCAUAACUUAUACAUGUUCCUAUGACUAUGAGAUUAUGCAACUCCCGUUUGCCGGAGGAACACUUUGUGUGCUACCAAACGUCACAACGUAAAUGGGUGAUUAUAAAGGUACUCUACAGGUGUCUCCAAAGGUACAUGUUGGGUUGGCCUAUUUCGAGAUUAGGAUUUGUCACUCCGAUUGUCGGAGAGGUAUCUCUGGGCCCUCUCGGUAAUGCACAUCACAUAAGCCUUGCAAGCAUUGCAACUAAUGAGUUAGUUGCGAGAUGAUGUAUUACGGAAUGAGUAAAGAGACUUGCCGGUAACGAGAUUGAACUAGGUAUUGAGAUACCGACGAUCGAAUCUCGGGCAAGUAACAUACCGAUGACAAAGGGAACAACGUAUGUUGUUAUGUGGUCUGACCGAUAAAGAUCUUCGUAGAAUAUGUAGGAGCCAGUAUGAGCAUCCAGGUUCCGCUAUUGGUUAUUGACCGGAGACGUGUCUCGGUCAUGUCUACAUUGUUCUCGAACCCGUAGGGUCCGCACGCUUAAGGUUUCGAUGACAGUUAUAUUAUGAGUUUAUGAGUUUUGAUGUACCGAAGUUAGUUUAGAGUCCCGGAUGUGAUCACGGACAUGACGAGGAGUCUCGAAAUGGUCGAGACAUAAAGAUUGAUAUAUUGGACGGCUAUAUUCGGACAUCGGAAGUGUUCCGGUGAUUUCGGAGAAAACCGGAGAGCCGGAGGGUUACCGGAACCCCCCCCCCCCGGGAGAUGUAAUGGGCCAUAUGGGCCUUAGUGGAGAGAGAGAGGGGCAGCCAAAGGUGGGCUGCAUGCCUCCUCCCCCUGGUCCGAAUUGGACUAGGAGAGGGGGGGCGGCGCCCAACUUUCCUUCUCCCUCCCCACUUCUUUCCCCCUCCUAGUAGGAGUCCUACUCCUACUAGGAGGAGGACUCCUCCUUGGCGCGCCAUAGGGGCCGGCCGGCCUCCUCCCCUUGAUCCUUUAUAUACGGGGGUAGGGGGCACCCCUAGAAACACAAGUUGAUCCACGUGAUCAUAUUCUCAGCCGUGUGCGGUGCCCCCUUCCACCAUAAUCCUCGAUAAUAUUGUAGCGGUGCUUAGGCGAAGCCCUGCGAAGAUAGUACAUCAAGAUCGUCACCACGCCGUCGUGCUGACGGAACUCUUCCCCGACACUUUGCUGGAUCGGAGUCCGGGGAUCGUCAUCGAGCUGAACGUGUGCUAAAACUUGGAGGUGCCGUAGUUUCGGUGCUUGAUCGGUCGGGCCGUGAAGACGUACGACUACAUCAACCGCGUUGUGCUAACGCUUCCGCUGUCGGUCUACAAGGGUACGUAGAUCACACUCUCCCCUCUCGUUGCUAUGCAUCACCAUGAUCUUGCGUGUGCGUAGGAAUUUUUUUGAAAUUACUACGUUCCCCAACAGUGGCAUCCGAGCCUAGGUUUUAUAUGUUGAUGUUAUAUGCACGAGUAGAACACAAGUGAGUUGUGGGCGAUAUAAGUCAUACUGCUUACCGGCAUGUCAUACUUUGGUUUGGUGGUAUUGUUGGACGAAGCGGCCCAGACCGACAUUACGCGUACACUUACGCGAGACCAGUUCUCCCGACGUGCUUUGCACAUAGGUGGCUUGCGGGUGACAGUUUCUCCAACUUUAGUUGAACCGAGUGUGGCUACGUCCGGUCCUUGCGAAGGUUAAAACAACACCAACUUGACAAACUAUCGUUGUGGUUUUGAUGCGUAGGUAAGAUUGGUUCUUGCUUAAGCCCGUAGCAGCCACGUAAAACUUGCAACAACAAAGUAGAGGACGUCUAACUUGUUUUUGCAGGGCAUGUUGUGAUGUGAUAUGGUCAAGACAUGAUGCUAAAUUUUAUUGUAUGAGAUGAUCAUGUUUUGUAAUCGAGUUAUCGGCAACUGGCAGGAGCCAUAUGGUUGUCGCUUUAUUGUAUGCAAUGCAAUCGCGCUGUAAUGCUUUACUUUAUCACUAAGCGGUAGUGAUAAUCGUGGAAGCAUAAGAUUGGCAAGACGACAACAAUGCUACGAUGGAGAUCAAGGUGUCGCGCCGGUGACGAUGGUGAUCACGAUGGUGCUUCGAAGAUGGAGAUCGCAAGCACAAGAUGAUGAUGGCCAUAUCAUAUCACUUAUAUUGAUUGCAUGUGAUGUUUAUCUUUUAUGCAUCUUAUCUUGCUUUGAUUGACGGUAGCAUUAUAAGAUGAUCUCUCACUAAUUAUCAAGAAGUGUUCUCCCUGAGUAUGCACCAUUGCGAAAGUUCUUCGUGCUGAGACACCACGUGAUGAUCGGGUGUGAUAGGCCCUACGUUCAAAUAUAACAGGUGCAAAACAGUUGCACACGCGGAAUACUCAGGUUAUACUUGACGAGCCAAGCAUAUACAGAUAUGGCCUCGGAACACGGAGACUGAAAGGUCGAGCGUGAAUCAUAUAGUAGAUAUGAUCAACAUAGUGAUGUUCACCAAUGAAACUACUCCAUCUCACGUGAUGAUCAGACAUGGUUUAGUUGAUUUGGAUCACGUAAUCACUUAGAGGAUUAGAGGGAUGUCUAUCUUAAGUGGGAGUUCUUUAAGUAAAUUAAUUGAACCUAAAUUUAUCAUGAAACUUAGUACCUGAUAGUAUCUUGCUUGUUUAUGCUUGACUGUAUAUAGAUGGCUCGUGCUGUUGUUCCUUGAAUUUUAAUGCGUUCCUUGAGAAAGCAAAGUUGAAAGAUGAUGGUAGCAAUUACACGGACUGGGUCCGUAACUUGAGGAUUAUCCUCAUUGCUGCACAGAAGAAUUACGUCCUGGAAGCACCGCUGGGUGCCAGGCCUGCUGCUGGAGCAACACCAGAUGUUAUGAACGUCUGGCAGAGCAAAGCUGAUGACUACUCGAUCGUUCAGUGUGCCAUGCUUUACGUCUUAGAAUCGGGACUUCAACGACGUUUUGAACGUCAUGGAGCAUAUGAGAUGUUCCAGGAGUUGAAGUUAAUAUUUCAAGCAAAUGCCCGGAUUGAGAGAUAUGAAGUCUCCAAUAAGUUCUAUAGCUGCAAGAUGGAGGAGAAUAGUUCUGUCAGUGAGCAUAUACUCAAAAUGUCUGGGUAUAAUAAUCACUUGAUUCAAUUGGGAGUUAAUCUUCCAGAUGAUUGCGUCAUUGACAGAAUUCUCCAAUCACUGCCACCAAGCUACAAGAGCUUCGUGAUGAACUAUAAUGUGCAAGGGAUGAAUAAGACUAUUCCCGAGCUCUUCGCAAUGCUGAAAGCUGCAGAGGUAGAAAUCAAGAAGGAGCAUCAAGUGUUGAUGGUCAACAAGACCACUAGUUUCAAGAAAAAGGGCAAAGGGAAGAAGAAGGGGAACUUCAAAAAGAACAGCAAGCAAGUUGCUACUCAAGAGAAGAAACCCAAACCUAGACCUAAGCUUGAAACUGAGUGCUUCUACUGCAAGCAGACUGGUCACUGGAAGCGGAACUGCCCCAAGUAUUUGGCGGAUAAGAAGGAUGGCAAGGUGAACAAAGGUAUAUGUGAUAUACAUGUUAUUGAUGUGUACCUUACUAAUGCUCACAGUAGCACCUGGGUAUUUGAUACUGGUUCUGUUGCUAAUAUUUGCAACUCGAAACAGGGACUACGGAUUAAGCGAAGAUUGGCUAAGGACGAGGUGAUGAUGCGCGUGUGAAACGGUUCCAAAGUCGAUGUGAUCGCAGUCGGCACGCUACCUCUACAUCUACCUUCGGGGUUAAUAUUAGACCUAAAUAAUUGUUAUUUGGUGCCAGCGUUAAGCAUGAACAUUGUAUCUAGAUCUUGUUUGAUGCGAGACGGUUAUUCAUUUAAAUCUGAGAAUAAUGGUUGUUCUAUUUAUAUGAGUAAUAUCUUUUAUGGUCAUGCACCCUUAAAGAGUGGUCUAUUUUUAUUGAAUCUCGAUAGUAGUGACACACAUAUUCAUAGUGUUGAAGCCUAAAGAUGCAGAGUUGAUAAUGAUAGUGCAACUUAUUUGUGGCACUGCCGUUUGGGUCAUAUCGGUAUAAAGCGCAUGAAGAAACUCCAUACUGAUGGGCUUUUGGAACCACUUGAUUAUGAAUCACUUGGUACUUGCGAACCGUGCCUUAUGGGUAAGAUGACAAAAACACCGUUCUCCGGUACUAUGGAGAGAGCAACAGAUUUGUUGGAAAUCAUACAUACAGAUGUAUGUGGUCCGAUGAACAUUGAGGCUCGUGGCGGAUAUCGUUAUUUUCUCACCUUCACAGAUGACUUAAGCAGAUAUGGGUAUAUCUACUUAAUGAAACACAAGUCUAAACAUUUGAAAAGUUCAAAGAAUUUCAGAGUGAAGUUGAAAAUCAUCAUAACAAGAAAAUAAAAUUCCUACGAUCUGAUCGUGUUGGAGAAUAUUUGAGUUACGAGUUUGGUGUACAUUUGAAAAAUUGUGGAAUAGUUUCGCAACUCACGCCACCCGGAACACCACAGCGUAAUGGUGUGUCCGAACAUCGUAAUCGUACUUUACUAGAUAUGGUGCAAUCUAUGAUGUCUCUUACUGAUUUACCGCUAUCGUUUUGGGGAUACGCUCUAGAGACGGCCGCAUUCACGUUAAAUAGGGCACCAUCAAAAUCCGUUGAGAGGACGCCUUAUGAACUGUGGUUUGGCAAGAAACCAAAGUUGUCGUUUCUGAAAGUUUGGGGCUGCGAUGCUUAUGUGAAAAAGAUUCAACCUGAUAAGCUUGAACCCAAAUCGGAGAAAUGUGUCUUCAUAGGAUAUCCAAAGGAAACUAUUGGAUACACAUUCUAUCACAAAUCCGAAGGCAAGACUUUUGUUGCUAAAUUCGGAAACUUUCUGGAGAAGGAGUUUCUCUCGAAAGAAGUGAGUGGGAGGAAAGUAGAACUUGACGAGGUAACUGUACCUACUCCCUUAUUGGAAAGUAGUACAUCACAAAAACCUGUUUCUGUGACACCUACACCAGUUAGUGAGGAAGCUAAUGAUGAUGAUCAUGAAACUUUAGAACAAGAUACUACUGAACCUCGUAGAUCAACCAGAGUGAGAUCUGUGCCAGAGUGGUACGGUAAUCCUGUUCUGGAAGUCAUGCUACUAGAUCAUGAUGAACCUACGAACUAUCAAGAAGCGAUGGUGAGCCCAGAUUCGGCAAAAUGGCUUGAAGCCAUGAAAUCUGAGAUGGGAUCCAUGUAUGAGAACAAAGUAUGGACUUUGGUUGACUUGCCCGAUGAUCGGCAAGCAAUUGAGAAUAAAUGGAUCUUCAAGAAGAAGACUGACGCUGACGGUAAUAUUACUGUCUACAAAGCUCGACUUGUCGCAAAAGGUUUUCGGCAAGUUCAAGGGAUUGACUACGAUGAGACCUUCUCACCCGUAGCGAUGCUUAAGUCUGUCCGAAUCAUGUUAGCAAUUGCCGCAUUUUAUGAUUAUGAAAUUUGGCAGAUGGAUGUCAAAACUGCAUUCCUGAAUGGAUUUCUGGAAGAAGAGUUGUAUAUGAUGCAACCAGAAGGUUUUGUCGAUCCAAAGGGAGCUCACAAAGUGUGGAAGCUCCAGCAAUCCAUUUAUGGACUGGUGCAAGCCUCUCGGAGUUGGAAUAAACGCUUUGAUAGUGUGAUCAAAGCAUUUGGUUUUAUACAGACUUUUGGAGAAGCCUGUAUUUACAAGAAAGUGAGUGGGAGCUCUGUAGCAUUUCUGAUAUUAUAUGUGGAUGACAUAUUACUAAUUGGAAAUGAUAUAAAAUUUCUGGAUAGCAUAAAGGAAUACUUGAAUAAGAGUUUUUCAAUGAAAGACCUCGGUGAAGCUUCUUACAUAUUAGGCAUUAAGAUCUAUAGAGAUAGAUCAAGACGCUUAAUUGGACUUUCACAAAGCACAUACCUUGACAAAGUUUUGAAGAAGUUCAAAAUGGAUCAAGCAAAGAAAGGGUUCUUGCCUGUGUUACAAGGUGUGAAGUUGAGUAAGACUCAAUGCCCGACCACUGCAGAAGAUAGAGAGAAAAUGAAAGAUGUUCCCUAUGCUUCAGCCAUAGGCUCUAUCAUGUAUGCAAUGCUGUGUACCAGACCUGAUGUGUGCCUUGCUAUAAGUCUAGCAGGGAGGUACCAAAGUGAUCCAAGAGUGGAUCACUGGACAGCGGUCAAGAACAUCCUGAAAUACCUGAAAAGGACUAAGGAUAUGUUUCUCAUAUAUGGAGGUGACAAAGAGCUCAUCGUAAAAGGUUACGUUGAUGCAAGCUUUGACACUGAUCCGGACGAUUCUAAAUUGCAAAACGGAUACGUGUUUACAUUAAACGGUGGAGCUGUCAGUUGGUGCAGUUCUAAACAAAGUGUUGUGGCGGGAUCUACAUGUGAAGCGGAGUACAUAGCUGCUUCGGAAGCAGCAAAUGAAGGAGUCUGGAUGAAGGACUUCAUAUCCGAUCUAGGUGUCAUACCUAGUGCAUCGGGUCCAAUGAAAAUCUUUUGUGACAAUACUGGUGCAAUUACCUUGGCAAAGGAAUCCAGAUUUCACAAGAGAACCAAGCACAUCAAGAUACGCUUCAAUUCCAUCCGGGAUCUAGUCCAGGUGGGAGACAUAGAGAUUUGCAAGAUACAUACGGAUCUGAAUGUUGCAGACCCGUUGACUAAGCCUCUUCCACAAGCAAAACAUGAUCAGCACCAAGGCUCCAUGGGUGUUAGAAUCAUUACUGUGUAAUCUAGAUUAUUGACUCUAGUGCAAGUGGGAGACUGAAGGAAAUAUGCCCUAGAGGCAAUAAUAAAGUUAUUAUUUAUUUCCUUAUAUCAUGAUAAAUGUUUAUUAUUCAUGCUAGAAUUGUAUUAACCGGAAACAUAAUACAUGUGUGAAUACAUAGACAAACGGAGUGUCACUAGUAUGCCUCUACUUGACUAGCUCGUUAAUCAAAGAUGGUUAUGUUUCCUAACCAUGAACAAAGAGUUGUUAUUUGAUUAACGGGAUCACAUCAUUAGGUGAAUGAUCUGAUUGACAUGACCCAUUCCAUUAGCUUAGCACCCGAUCGUUUAGUAUGUUGCUAUUGCUUUCUUCAUAACUUAUACAUGUUCCUAUGACUAUGAGAUUAUGCAACUCCCGUUUGCCGGAGGAACACUUUGUGUGCUUCCAAACGUCACAACGUAAAUGGGUGAUUAUAAAGGUACUCUACAGGUGUCUCCAAAGGUACAUGUUGGGUUGGCGUAUUUCGAGAUUAGGAUUUGUCACUCCGAUUGUCGGAGAGGUAUCUCUGGGCCCUCUUGGUAAUGCACAUCACAUAAGCCUUGCAAGCAUUGAAACUAAUGAGUUAGUUGCGAGAUGAUGUAUUACAGAACGAGUAAAGAGACUUGCCGGUAACGAGAUUGAACUAGGUAUUGAGAUACCGACGAUCGAAUCUCGGGCAAGUAACAUACCGAUGACAAAGGGAACAACGUAUGUUGUUAUGCGGUCUGACCGAUAAAGAUCUUCAUAGAAUAUGUAGGAGCCAAUAUGAGCAUCCAGGUUCCGCUAUUGGUUAUUGACCGGAGACGUGUCUCGGUCAUGUCUACAUUGUUCUCGAACCCGUAGGGUCCGCACGCUUAAGGUUUAGAUGACAGUUAUAUUAUGAGUUUAUGAGUUUUGAUGUACACAAGUUAGUUCGGAGUCCCGGAUGUGAUCACGGACAUGACGAGGAGUCUCGAAAUGGUCGAGACAUAAAGAUUGAUAUAUUGGACGGCUAUAUUCGGACACCGGAAGUGUUCCGGGUGAUUUCCGAGAAAACCGGAGAGCNNNNNNNNNNNNNNNNNNNNNNNNNNNNNNNNNNNNNNNNNNNNNNNNNNNNNNNNNNNNNNNNNNNNNNNNNNNNNNNNNNNNNNNNNNNNNNNNNNNNNNNNNNNNNNNNNNNNNNNNNNNNNNNNNNNNNNNNNNNNNNNNNNNNNNNNNNNNNNNNNNNNNNNNNNNNNNNNNNNNNNNNNNNNNNNNNNNNNNNNNNNNNNNNNNNNNNNNNNNNNNNNNNNNNNNNNNNNNNNNNNNNNNNNNNNNNNNNNNNNNNNNNNNNNNNNNNNNNNNNNNNNNNNNNNNNNNNNNNNNNNNNNNNNNNNNNNNNNNNNNNNNNNNNNNNNNNNNNNNNNNNNNNNNNNNNNNNNNNNNNNNNNNNNNNNNNNNNNNNNNNNNNNNNNNNNNNNNNNNNNNNNNNNNNNNNNNGCGCCCCCCUUUCCUUCUCCCUCCCCACUUCUUUCCCCCUCCUAGUAGGAGUCCUACUCCUACUAGGAGGAGGACUCCUCCUUGGCGCGCCAUAGGGGCCGGCCGGCCUCCUCCCCUUGAUCCUUUAUAUACGGGGGCAGGGGGCACCCCUAGAAACACAAGUUGAUCCACGUGAUCAUAUUCUCAGCCGUGUGCGGUGCCCCCUUCCACCAUAAUCCUCGAUAAUAUUGUAGCGGUUCUUAGGCGAAGCCCUGCGACGAUAGUACAACAAGAUCGUCACCACGCCGUCGUGCUGACGGAACUCUUCCCCGACACUUUGCUGGAUCGGAGUCCGGGGAUCGUCAUCGAGCUGAACAUGUGCUAAAACUCGGAGGUGCCGUAGUUUCGGUGCUUGAUCGGUCGGGCCAUGAAGACGUACGACUACAUCAACCACGUUGUGCUAACGCUUCCGCUGUCGGUCUACAAGGGUACGUAGAUCACACUCUCCCCUCUCAUUGCUAUGCAUCACCAUGAUCUUGCGUGUGCGUAGGAAAUUUUUUGAAAUUACUACGUUCCCCAACAGUACUUGCACCAGAGGCCAACUGCGUCGUACUUGCACUGGACGCCUGUCGCGCCGUUCGCAUGGGUCACAUCAUUCGCAUUGUCCGCGGCCACUUGAUGCCAACGCGCUGGUCGGUAGGCUCGACCGCCUCCUUGGCCCAGGUGUCCACCUGGGCGCAGUAGAGGAACAUGGCCGUCGCAUCCUUGAGCUAGUGAUCUCCGAUGAAAUAGCCAACUUGGAGCUCGAGAUCGCGCUCCAGAUGUACCGCGAGCGUGUCGACCGCUUGGAUGAACACCUGCACGAGUUCAGGCAGAGCCAAGAGCUACCAUAGGCAAGGGCUGCUGCUCAUGGUCUCUUGGACGCGUUUUAUUUUGUUGAUUCGUUUCAACGUGGAUAGCUACAUAUUCGCAGCAAUCAUAGUAUUGCUCUAUUUAUUGCUCUGUUUCAAUGUGUGUACUCUGUUUUCCGUUAUUAUAUGUUCUGUUUCAAUGUGUGUGUAUACGCUUUCCAUUCUAUAUAUGGAUGAUAACAACUAGAUUCAAAUUAGUAUACAAAAAUAGAUAGAAAAUGGAAUUCAUAAUAUAUAUAUAUAUAUAUAUAUUAAUUGUUCAUUAGUUCAUCACAGAAUAUAUAUAUAUAUAUAAUAUCAUCACAUAUAUGUGAUGAUACUUAACUACUAGGUACAAUGCAUAAAAUUGAAAACGAACAAUACUAAGACUAAUAAUCCCUCUUGGGGCCAGUAUUCCGGCAGCCCCUCAACAGUAGCUCCCUGGUGCACGGCGUCUUCCCAGUGCGGAGGUAGUACUCCGCCUCCUUCGCCUCGCAGCGCUUGACGUACUGAUCUCCCUCUUGCAGGCGGACGAGCACGAAUGAUCUUGCCAUUUCAUUGGGCGCCUACCGAAGCUCCUCGCCAGUGGCACGCUAGAGCUUAUCAGCCCACCUCCACGCAGCAAUGAGGCACCCAACGCCUUUGACCUUCCUUGCAAAGUAGUGUCUUCGUACACCUCCUCCGCACGUCGGUGCACCCUCCCCCAAAGCUCCGCCGCCUCCUUUUUCUAGGCGGCAUCACGGGCUUCACAUGCCGCCUGGUACCUGGCUUCCUCCUCCUCCAUCUCCUUCUUGAACGCCACUAGCCUGGCUUUAUCAGCCGGUGGCAACGAUUUCCACAGACAAAGAUUGUACCGGCCCCAAAACCAAUCAAAAGUUGGGGGGUCCGGCACAACCUCGUCCGGCGGCACAUAGGGGUCCUUGUCGCUGCUAUUCGAGUGAGCGUCCUCGGGGGGCGGCGACUCCUCAUCGGCGCGCGGACAGACCGGCGGCGCCAUGGCAGAUAUUUGAGAGAGAGAGAGCGAGUGAGGGGAGCAUGUAGAUGGGAAUGCAGGCGAGACGACGUGAGCAAGGUAGUAUUUAUUGGCGGUCGGAAUCUAGAUUGAUGGGAAUAGUACACACGCCAGUCGCCGGAAUUUACGAGUACUAUAGUUUGAAUUACACACGAUUCCCGGAGCAAAAUCCAUGUGUGAAAUUAAUAGCUGACGGUUUCCAAUACAGAACCAUGUCUAAUUAAUGACCCCCGCCACUCACCUACCAAACCCCGAGCCGCGAAAUAGAGUGUCAAUCGUGUGGGGGCGGUUGUCUUGCCAGAUCUUUACAUUUUCUCUUUUGAACACCAGAUAUUCACAUCGUCUGAUGAUUUUUUAACUCGCACACAAGUACACAAAAAUAUGAUUUUUUAGACUGUUAUGGUUAGCCGUUGCAUGUAGAUGUAGUUCAAAUUUGAAUUUAGGUCAUUAAAAAUGGCUAGAAAAUCACUUAAAUGUCUUUAAAAGGUCAAAUGACCCCUAGAAAAUUCCAAAUUUUCACAUGACAGUUGUAUUAGUGCAUGUUAAACGUAGAAAAAAUUUGAAGGCCGUAAGAGGAAGCUAUCUCCCAUUCGUCAUCAGACAUGCAUUGUUCCCUCUCGGAACCACGAGCCUUCUAAUGAGUUGCUCCGGUUUGUGAGGGGUGUGUGUCCAAAAUUUCGUCAAACAGGCCAAUUUUUUUACCACAUCAUCUUGGUGGCAUGACAUUACAUCAAGCAAGGUUUCAUGUUUUUCUGAUCAUUUUUUUAUUUUUUGGAAUUAAAAUGCCAUGGAACUCCAUGCAUGUGUCCAUGCCGCGAUACCAAUAUGUUUGAAAAUUCCUUCUAAUUUACUGCACAUGGAAUUAACUCGCACACAAGUACACAAAUAUGAUUUUUCAAACUGUUAUGGUUAGCCGUUGCAUGUAGAUGUUAUUCAAAUUUGAAUUACGGUCAUUAAAUGGCCAGAGAAUCACUUCUUUAAAAGGUCAAAUGCCCCCUGAAGUUUUCAAUUUUUUCACAUGACAGUUGUAUUAGUGCAUGUUAAAUGUAGAUAAAAAAUGGAAGGCGGUAAGAGGAAGUUAUCUCCCAUUCGUCAUCAAACAUGCAUUGUUCCCUCCCAGAACAAUGAGCCUUCUAGUGAGUUGCUCUGUUUUGUGAGGGGUGUCUCCAAACUUUCGUUAAACAGACCAUUUUUUACCACAUCAUCUUGGUGGCAUGACAUUACAUCAAGCAAGGUUUCAUGUUUUUCUGAACAUUUUUUUAUUUUUAGGAAUUUGAAUGCCAUGGCACUCCAUGCAUGUGUCCAUGCCGUGAGACCAAUAUGUUUGAAAAUUCCUUCUAAUUUACUGCACAUGGAAUUAACUCGCACACAAGUACACAAAUAUGAUUUUUCAAACCGUUAUGGUUAGCUGUUGCAUGUAGACAUAGUUCAAAUUUGAAUUACAGUCAUUAAAUGGCUAGAAAAACACUUAAAUGUCUUUAAAAGGUCAAAUGACCCCUGAAAUAUUCCAAAUUUUCACAUGACAGUUGUAUUAGUGCAUGUUAAAUGUAGAAAUUUUUUGAAGGCCAUAAGGGGAAGCUAUCUCCCGUUCGUCAUCAAACAUGCAUUGUUCCCUCUCGGAACCACGAGCCUUCUAGUGAGUUGCUCCGGUUUGUGAGGGGGUGUGUCCAAAACUUUUGUCAAACAAGCCAAUUUUUUAACACAUCACCUUGGUGGCAUGAUAUUACAUCAAGCAAGGCUUCAUGUUUUUCUGAUCAUUUUUUUAUUUUUUGGAAUUUAAAUGCCAUGGCACUCCAUGCAUGUGUCCAUUCCAUGAGACCAAUAUGUUUGGAAAGUCCUUCAAAUUUACUACACAUGGAACUAACUCACUCACAAGUACACAAAUAUGAUUUUUCAAACCGUUAUGGUUAGCUGUUGCAUGUGGAUGUAGUUCAAUUUUGAAUUACGGUCAUUAAAUGGCUAGAAAAUCACUUAAAUGUCUUUAAAAGGUCAAAUGUGACCCCUGAAAUUUUCCAAAUUUUCACAUGACAGUUGUAUAAGUAUACGUUAAAUGUAGAAAAAAAUUGAAGGCCGUAAGGGGAAGCUAUCUCCCGUUCGUCAUCAAACAUGCAUUGUCCCCUCUCGGAAACACGUGCCUUCAAGUGAGUUGCUUUGGUUUGUGAGGGGUGUGUGUCCAAACUUUCGUCAAACAUGCCAAAAAAUUUACCACAUCAUCUUGGUGGUAUGACAUUACAUAAAGCAAGGUUUCAUGUGUUUCUGCUCUUCUUUUUUUAAUUAUUUGGAAUUUAAAUGCCAUGGCACUCCAUGCUUAACUGUGUCAUAGCCGUUAGACCAAUAUGUUUGAAAAUUCCUUCCACUUUACUGCACAUGGAAUUAAAUCGCACACAAGUACACAAAAUAUGACUUUUCAAACCAUUAUGGUUAUAUGUUGCAUGUACAUGUAGUUCAAAUUUGAAUUACGAUCAUUAAAUGGAUAGAAAAUCACUUAAAUGACUUAAAUGGUAAAAUGACCCCUGAAAUUUUCCAAAAUUUGACAUGACAUUUGUAUUAGUACUACAAAUUUUCUUGUACAUUUAAAACACCAUCCGUUGCCACUUCACUUCAAAUUCGUCUUUCACAGCUAAUAAAAAAUAUCCACAACAUCACACACAAUUUUUUUGUAGGAACCGUUUGCGAUGAAAAUUUCUAGGUCUAUUUAAGUCUUCCUCCUUAAGCUUCGCCGGUCUGUCUGCUCCAGUGCCGGCAACCCCCAAAUCCAUGAACCCCGAUCCCCAUUCCCACACCCCCUUUUUGCAAAGAUGACGCCGUGGAAACGCUUCGUGAAGGCCUGUACGAUGGCCGCGUCCUCCCCGAGCGUGGCCGCCUGCGCCGAGAGCGCGGCCGCCUACGCUAAGAGUGCCGCCGCAUCCGCAUUGAGCGCGGCGGCAUCCGCGGAGAGGACGUCUGCGGCAGCUGACAUGGCAGCUGUAGCAACCAAGACGGCUGAAGUUGUUGCUGCGACGGCAGCUGCAAACGCCGAGAGCGCUCGAGCUGCCGUCCGUGCCACCGAUGUCGCGCUGGCCCGGGUCAAGGCCAUCCACGCCAAGAUAUUCCAGGCCACCUCAGAAUCCAGCAUGCAACCCAUGUACGAAAAGGCGGCGGUGACCAUGGAUCACCUACUUCCUCAUGAGAUCGCCGAGCGGGAGCUUGAUGCAGGAGGCAGCGGAGAUCGAGGAGCGCGGGAGGAGGAGUUGCGCAUGGCUGAGGUCGAGGUAGAGAAGAGUCUAUCUGUCAAGGAAUUGGUGGUGGAGUACCAACGCGAGCUCUGGCGCAGCCACUACUACAAGUACUAAAACCUUGAGGACGGCGCCGAGGACGAGGAUGAGGACGCGGUCAACUUCAGCAGGGGGGACACGGAGUUCACCAACGGCGACAUUUCGCCAGGACAAGCCAUCGACGUCUCAUCUCACACCGGCGAUGCAUAGGCCGGCAUGGCGGCGGAUUUGUUAAAAUUAUACGUACUUAGGCUUUGUUUUUAAUGCUGGUCUUUUGUUUGAGCAAUGUUUAGGUCAACUGGCUCUAUUUAAUUACUAAAAUUGCUUGAUUCAGUAAGUGUGGUCUAUGUGUUGUACGCUUAUUUGUGUGCCCAAAUUAGCAAGCGAUGUUAAAUUAUGCAAUGAUGUACCCGGAGAAAUUUCCACCAAAAUUUGAAUUAUCAAACUCAUCCCAUGCGCGUAAAGUAGAAGAAUUGUUUGUGAUGCACACAAUCAUUCAAAGUGAAUGGUGUCCAGCGGCACCGCACGCAAAGUUUCCCUCCACAUUUCCAAAAUUUUGGCCUACCGCCAAAAUAUCUACCCCGCCCCCUCCCCCUUCCCCUCCCCCUUUUCUCCCCGACCACAAGUCACAUUUCCCUUGUUUCCUCCUUCCUUCCUAAGCUAUAGCCGCUUCCUCGCUUGCUUCCUCGCUCUCGCCGUCUCGCAUCCUACUGUCGGGGUCGCCAUGGUCUUCUUCAAUGACCUCUCCAGUGGUUCCUCCUCCUCCGACGACUCCUUCAGCACUCGGGUAUGCCUCUCUUCUCUCUCUCUUGGGCUAUGACUUGGAAUGAAGGAUUUUAACCCGGUGGUCGAUUUGAGUCAUUUCUUCCUCUUGUAGCUCCCUAGGACCAUCAGUUGCAACGAAUGGAGUGGGGUGGCUGAAGAUCUGUCUGCUCGUUGUCACCAUCAAUCUCCAUGCGUGAAGCUAGUUGCGUUUGAAUCUGUGGAUAGUGGGAGGAAGUUUCUGGCAUGUGCAGAGAAAGUGAGACCCUCUUUCGUUGUUACAAAUCAUUUGUUAGAUGUGAUUCAGACACUGUCACGGUCCCAACCCAUUCAUACCACACCCUCAACCAAACGCAUCCUAAGACAGUGUCACAAUUUGUACCUAGUAUCUAAAAAUGUUGCCAUCUCAUCAGCGGUGCCAUUUGGAAAUUAUUUGGCACCGCUUCAGUAGUUUGUGGUGCCAACUUUGGUCCACACAUCCGAGCGGCCAAGCAGUAAAAUACUAAAUCAUUAUGGCACGAAGGAAGUGGGCAUCAGAGCAACAAGGUGCUCCCGAGUCCGGGUCCCUGCUUUUUUCCCGCUGCAUCGGCUCGCCAGUGCAGGGCACCAGUGCGAGAUGUAUCAAUAGUUGUCUUCACACCGGUUUGGGCAUACAUAGUGGACGACCUUAGUGCUAUUAGUUCUCUGUUACUAAAUUUGUGCAUGUACACUCCUGUUAGUAUCAAUUUGCUAUCAUCCAAACACUGUCGCUAUGCUGUUGCAGUUAUAUUUACCUUCCUCACAAAAUGUUCAAUUUAUUAUUUAUAGUACAUGAGUAAGAACUUGUAGCAUUGUUGUAGUUAAUUAUAGCUUCUGAUGUUUUAGAAUUUGGUUGUUGUCUCAGUAGCAAUUAAUUCAUUUGCACAUUGAUCUUUUUGAGAAGAUAUGUCAUAAUUAACAUGUUUCUUCAGUUUUUCAAAAUAAGUAUUGGUGAUUUCCUAUGUUGCUAUAAACCCAUUUCCCCUACAAUUGUUACUAAUCUAGUUUUAAAUAUUAUAGGAUGAACAGAAGUGUUCUUACUUGGAGUGGGUUGAUCAAGAGUGGCCACAGUCUUUGAAGAUGUGCCUAGCAAAGCUCUGGAGCAUGUAUGAGGAAGAGAACAGAGGUAGACUUAGAGAAAGUGUUGUCAACGCCGAAGAAUAUUUGAAGAUGCAGGAUAAAAAGAGGAAGGUGGAGAGUUAGCUCAGAUUUUUGAAAUCAGACUUUGCUAAGACGGUGUUGGCGAAGGAGGAGGCACUUUCCUAGUUGGACAGUGCAAAACAUGUUCUUACUGAACUGAAAGCAGAGGUGGAUAAGACGUGCAUGGAUGAUCUUGAUUAGGGAAAUGUAUAUAUUGUUCUAAUAUUGUUCUUAUGAAGUUGAACUAGCUAUAUGUUGUACUGUGUUGUUUUCAGGUAGCUAUCGUACUGUGAUGUUAAAAUAUAUUUAUGUGCCUGAUAUGAACUUGACAAACAGUUGUUCGAUAUGAAAUGUGAAUUUGCGUAAUAUUAGAAUUAUUAAUUGUUAGCUAAUAAACCUGCUAAAUGAGCCAUGGAACUUUGCAAACGGUUAUGGCAGCAAAAGCGCUUGUGAUGGAUAGCCCAAUGCCACACAAUUUUCUUCAACAAAUCGUGUGUGAUGUAGUUGAUAAAAGCAAACGGUUAACCAAGCCAGAGCAUGUGUGAUAGUUUCACCUUUCACACACGAGUCUAUACAUAAAACUGUGUGGGAUGUACAUACGAAUGGAAACGUUUCCCCUGGAUUAACCGUGUGGGAUGUACAUAAUAACGGAAACGUAUUCCUUGGAUUGACUGCAUGUGAUAUACAUACGAACAGAAACAUUUUCCAUGUAUUGACUGUGUGGGAUGUACAUAAGAACGGAAACGUAUUCCUUGGAUUGACUGUGUGUGAUAUACAUAAGAACGGAAAUAUUUUUCUGGGAUUCACCAUGUGGGAUGUACAUACGAACAGAAACGUUGAGUUUCGAUGCCUCGCCCGAUCGUGCACGAGCUCAUUUUGCCCCAGCCUGUGUGCCAGGAGGGCCUAUCCCCGACGGUUUCUGGGUCGUGUGGGAAGGACCACCCUAUCGCCCAUACUCACUUGGCGACGGUUCCAAAUGCCAUCGCGGAAAGGGGUUAAAAACCGUUUGUAUAGCACCACGCGUACCCGUGUAUGUCAAUGCCUUUCCCUUCAAAGAUAAAGGGAAGACCUUCUUCUUGACAUCAUCCUCGGGCAAACCUGCAAGCUUAAAUAAUCCACAAACUUCAUCCACAUAGAUUAGAUGAAAAUUAGGAUGUAGUGUUCCAUCUCCUGCAUAAGGAUUAGCUAGCAGUUUGUCUAUCAUACUCGAAGGAAUUCAUAAUAAAUAUUUUCAGUAGGUUCAGUAGGUUGAGGAGCAACUCUUUGAUCUUUCGGUUGAGGUGAAGAUACCCCGAACAAGCCCCUCAAAGGAUGAUUUUCCAUAGUGAUAAGUGACAGUAAAUUUCAACACGUAAUAUAAAUGUUUCCUUACCAAAUUCCACUUACCAAAGGCGCUUCACUCCACGACAACGGCGCAAGAAAAGAGUCUUGAUGACCCACAAGUAUAGGGGUUCUAUCUGUUGGGUAACGCAAUAUUUCAAAAAAAUUCCUACGAUCACGCAUGAUAUAUCUAGGAGAUGCAUAGCAACGAGUGGGGAGAGUGUGUACACAUACCCUCGUAGACCGAAAGCGGAAGCAUUUAGUAACGCGGUUGAUGUAGUCGAACAUCUUCACAAUCCAACCGAUCCAAGUACUGAACGCAUGGCACCUCCGUGAUCUGCACACGUUCAGCUCGAUGACGUCACUCGAACUCUUGAUCCAGUUGAGGCCAAGGGAGAGUUUCAUCAGCACGAUGGUGUGGUGACGGUGAUGAUGAAGUUACCGACGCAUGGCUUCGCCUAAGCACUACGACAAUAUGACCGAGGUGGAAAACUAUGGAAGGGGGCACCGCACAUGGCAAAGACAAAUCUUUGAGUGCUUUUGGGGUGCCCCUGCCCACGUAUAUAAAGGAGGAGGAAGAGGAGGCCGGCCUAGGAGGGGCGCACCUAUAGGGGGAGUCCAACUAGGAUUCCCAAUCCUAGUUGGAGUCCCCUUCCUUUUCCAAGAGGGGAGAGAGGGAAGAAGUAGGAGAGGGAGAAGGAAAGAGAAGGGGGCGCCACUCCCUCCCUAAUCCAAUUCAGACUUGCCAUGGGGGGUGCGGCCACCCCUUGAGGCCCUUCUCUCCUUUCCAGUAUGGCCCAUUAAGGCCCACUACUUCCCCCGGUGAAUUCCCGUAACUCUCCGGUACUCCGAAAAAUACCCGAAUCACUCGGAACCUUUCCGAUGUCCGAAUAUAGCCUUCCAAUAUAUCGAUAUUUACGUCUUGAUCAUUUCGAGAUUCCUCGUCAUGUCCGUGAUCUCAUCCGGGACUCCAAAAAACCUUCAGUACAUCAAAUCACAUAACUCAUAAUACAAAUCGUCAUCGAACGUUAAGCGUGCGGACCCUACGGGUUUGAGAACUAUGUAGAUAUGACCGAGGCUCAUCUUCGGUCAAUAACUAAUAGCGGAACCUGGAUGCUCAUAUUGGCUCCUACAUAUUGUACGAAGAUCUUUAUCGGUCAAACCGCAUAACAACAUACGUUGUUCCCUUUGUCAUCGUUAUGUUACUUGCCCGAGAUUCGAUUGUCGGUAUCCUCAUACCUAGUUCAAUCUCGUUACCGGCAAGUCUCUUUACUCGUUCCGUAAUGAAUCAUCCCGUAACUAACUCUUUAGUCACAUUGCUUCUAAGGCUUAUAGUGAUGGGCAUUACCGAGAGGGCCCAGAGAUACCUCUCCGACAAUCGGAGUGACAAAUCCUAAUCUGGAUCUAUGCCAACUCAACAAACACCAUCGGAGACACCUGUAGAGCAUCUUUAUAAUCACCCAGUUACGUUGGACGAUCGAUAGCACACUAAGUCUUCCUCCGGUAUUUGGGAGUUGCAUAAUCUCAUAGUCAUAGGAACAUGUAUAAGUUAUGAACAAAGCAAUAGCAAUAAACUAAGCGAUCAUAGUGCUAAGCUAACGGAUAGGUCAAGUCAAUCACAUUAUUCUCUAAUGAUAUGGUCCCAUUCAUCAAAUGACAACUCAUGUCUAUGGUUAGGAAACUUAACCAUCUUUGAUUAACGAGCUAGUCAAGUAGAGGCAUACUAGUGACACUCUGUUUGUCUAUGUAUUCACACAUGUACUAAGUUUCCGGUUAAUACAAUUCUAUCAUGAAUAAGAAACAUUUAUCACGAUAUAAGGAAAUAUAAAUAAAAACUUUAUUAUUGCCUCUAGGGCAUAUUUCCUUGGGUCUCCCACUUGCACUAGAGUCAAAAAUCUAGUUCACAUCAUCAUGUGAUUUAACACCAAUAGUUCACAUCUUUAUGUGAUUAGUUCACAUCUCCAUGUGACUAAUACCCAAAGGGCUUACUAGAGUCAAUAAUCUGGUUCACAUUGCUAUGUGAUUAACACCCAAAGAGUGAUCAUGUUUUGCUUGUGAGAUAAAUUUAGUCAACGGGUCUGCCACAUUCAGAGCCGUACGUAUUUUGCAAAAAAAUGUCUACAAUGCUCUGCAUGCAGAGCUACUCUAGAUAAUUGCUCCCACUUUCAAUAUGUAUCCAGAUUGAGACUCAGAGCCAUCCAGAUCGGUGUCAAAACUUGCAUUGACGUAACUCUUUACGACGAACUUUUUGUCACCUCCAUAACCGAGAAACAUAUCCUUAUUCCACUAAGGAUAAUUCUGACCGAUGUCCAAUGAUCCACUCCUAGAUCACUAUUGUACCCUCUUGCCAAACUCUUGGUGAGGUACACAACAGGUCUGGUACACAGCAUAGGGAAUGCCUUUUCAUUCUCUUUCUAUUUUCUGCCGUGGUCGGGUUUUUGAGUCUUUACUAAACUUCACACCUUCCAACACAGGCAAGAACUCCUUCUUUGACUGUUCCAUUUGGAACUACUAAAAAUCUUGUCAAGGUAUGUACUCAUUGAAAAAUAUAUCAAGCAUCUUGAUUUAUCUCUAUAGAUAUUGAUGCUCAAUAUGCAAGUAGCUUCACCGAGGUCUUUCUUUGAAAAACUCCUUUCAAACACUCCAUUAUGCUUUCCACAAAAUUCUACAUCAUUUCUGAUCAACAAUAUGUCAUUAACAUAAACUUAUCAGAAAGGUUGUAGUGCUCCCACUCACUUUCUUGUAAAUACAGGCUUCACCGCAAGUCUAUAUAAAACCAUAUGCUUUGAUCACUUUAUCAAAGCAUAUAUUCCAACUCCGAGCUGCUUGCACCAGUCCAUAGAUGGAUCGCUGGAGCUUGCACACUCUGUUAGCACCUUUAGGAUUGACAAAACCUUCUUAUUGCAUCAUAUACAUCUCUUCUUUAAGAAAUCCAUUAAGGAAUGCAGUUUUGACAUCCAUUUGCCAGAUUUCAUAAAAUGUGGCAAUUGCUAACAUGAUUCGGACAGACUUAAGCAUCGCUAUGAGUGAGAAAAUCUCAUCGUAGUCAACAUCUUGAACUUGUCGAAAACCUUUUACGACAAUUCGAGCUUUGUAUAUAGUAAUACUACUAUCAAUGUCUGUCUUCCUCUUGAAGAUCCAUUUAUUCUCAAUGGCUUGCCGAUCAUUGGGCAAGUCAACCAAAGUACACACUUUGUUCUCAUACAUGGAUCCCAUCUCAGAUUUCAUGGCCUCAAGCCAUUUUGCGGAAUCUGGGCUCAUAAUCGCUUCCUCAUAGUUCGUAGGUCCGUCAUGGUCUAGGAACAUGACUUCCAGAAAGGAUUACCAUACCACUCUGGUGCGGACCAUACUCUGCUUGACCUACGAGGUUCGGUAAUAAAUUGAUCUGAAGUUUCAUGAUCAUCAUCAUUAGCUUCCUCACUAAUUGGCGUAGUAAUCACUAGAACUGAUUUCUGUGAUGAACCACUUUCCAAUUCGGGAGAAGGUACAAUUACAUCAUCAAGUUCUACAUUCCUCCCACUCACUUCUUUCGAGAGAACUUCUUCUCUAGAAAUGAUCCAUUCUUAGCAACGAAUAUCUUGCCUUCGGAUCUGUGAUAGAAGGUGUACCCAACAGUUUCCUUUGGGUAUCCUAUGAAGACGCAUUUCUCCGAUUGGGCUUCGAGCUUAUCAGGUUGAAACUUUUUCACAUAAGCAUCAUAGCCCCAAACUUUAAUAAACGACAACUUAGGUUUCUUGCUAAACCACAGUUCAUAUGGUGUCGUCUCAACGGAUUUAGAUGGUGCCCUAUUUAACGUGAAUGUAGUUGUCUCUAAUGCAUAGCCCCAAAAUGAUAGUGAUAAAUCGGUAAGAUACAUCAUAGAUCGCACCAUAUCUAAUAAAGUACGGUUAUGACGUUCGGCCACACCAUUACGCUGUGGUGUUCCAGGUGGCGUGCGUUGCGAAACUAUUCCACAUCGUUUCAAAUGAAGACCAAACUCGUAACUGAAAUAUUCGUCUCCGCGAUCAGAUCAUAGAAACUUUAUUUUCUUGUUACGAUGAUUUUCCACUUUACUCUGAAAUUCUUUGAACUUUUCAAAUGUUUCAGACUGUUGUUUUAUUAAGUAGAUAUACCCAUAUCUGCUCAAAUCAUGUGUGAAGGUCAGAAAAUAACGACACCCGCCGCGAGCCUCAACACUUAUCGGAUCACAUACAUCAGUAUGUAUUAUUUCCAAUAAGUCAGUUGCUUGCUCCAUUGUUCCGAAGAAUGGAGUCUUAGUCAUCUUGCCCAUGAGGCAUGGUUCGCAAGCAUCAAAUGAUUCAUAAUCAAGUGAUUCCAAAAGCCCAUCAGCAUGGAGUUUCUUCAUGCGCUUUACACCAAUAUGACCUAAACGGCAGUGCCACAUAUAAGUUGCACUAUCAUUAUUAACUUUGCAUCUUUUGGCUUCAAUAUUAUGAAUAUGCGUAUCACUGCGAUUGAGAUUCAAUAAACCAUUUAUAUUGAGUGUAUGACCAUAGAAGGUUUUAUUCAUGUAAAUAGAACAACAAUUAUUCUUUGACUUAAAUGAAUAAUCAUAUUUGCAAUAAACAUGAUCUAGUCAUAUUUAUGCUCAACGCAAACACCAAAUAACAUUUAUUUUAGGUUCAACACUAAUCCCGAAGGUAAAGGGAGUGUGCAAUGGUGAUCUUAUCAACCUUGGAAUCACUUCCAACACACAUCAUCACCUUGCCCUCAACUAGUUUCUGUUCAUUUUGUAACUCCUAUUUCAAGUUACUAAUCAUAGCAACUGAACCAGUAACAUAUACCCAGGGGCUAUUAUGAACACUAGUAAAGUACACAUCGAUAAUCUGUACAUCAAAUAUACCUUUGUUCACUUUGCCAUAUUUCUUAUCCGCCAAGUAUUUGGGGUAGUUCCGCUUCGAGUGACCAUUCCCUUUGUAGUAGAAGCACUCGGUUUCAUGCUUAGGUCUAGCUUUGGGUUUCUUCAUGGGAGUGGCAACUUGCUUGCCAUUCUUUGAAGUUCCCUUUCUUUUCCUUUGCCCCUUUUUCUUGAAACUAGUGGUCUUGUUAACCAUCAACACUUGAUGCUCUUUCUUGAAUUCUACCUUCGCUGAUUUCAGCAUCACGAAGAGCUUGGGAAUCGUUUUCGUCAUCCCUUGCAUAUUAUAGUUCAUCACGAAGUUCCAGAAAUUGGUGAUAGUGACUAGAGAACUCUGUCAAUCACGAUCUUAUCUAGAAGAUUAACUCCCACUUGAUUCAAGCGAUUGUAGUACUCAGACAUUCUGAGCACAUGCUCACUGGUUGAGCUAUUCUCCUCCAUCUUGUAGGCAAAGUACUUGUCAGAGGUCUCAUACCUCUCGACUCGGGCAUGAGUCUGAAAUACCAAUUUCAGCUCUUGGAACAUCUUAUAUGCUUUGUGGCGUUCAAAACGGUUUUUGAAGUCCCGGUUCUAAGCCCUAAAGCAUGGCACACUAAACUAUCAACUAGUCAUCAUAUCAAGCUUGCCAAACGUUCAUAACGUCUGCAUCUUCUCCUGCAAUAGGUCUGUCACCUAGCGGUGCAUCAAGGACAUAAUUCUUCUGUGCAAAAAUGAGGAUAAUCCUUGGAUCAUGGACCUAGUCCGCAUCAUUGCUACUAUCAUCUUUCAGCUUAUUUUUCUCUACAAAAAUAUAAAACAGGGGAGCUAUAUGUGAGCUAUUGAUCUACAACAUAGAUAUGCAAAAACUACCAGGACUAAGUUCAUGAUAAAUUAAAGUUCAAUUAAUCAUAUUACUUAAGAACUCCCACUUAGACAGGCAUCGCUCUAAUCAUCUAAGUGAUCAUGUGAUCUAUACCAACUAAACCAUGCCCGAUCAUCACGUGAGAUGGAGUAGUUUUCAAUGGUGAACAUCACUAUGUUGAUCAUAUCUACUAUAUGAUUCAUGCUCGACCUUUCAGUCUCAGUGUUCCGAGGCCAUAUCUGCAUAUGCUAGGCUCGUCAAGUUUAACCCGAGUAUUUUGCAUGUGCAAAACUGGCUUGCACCCGUUGUAUGUGAACGUAGAGCUUAUCACACCCGAUCAUCACGUGGUGUCUCAGCACGACGAACUGUAGCAAUGGUGCAUACUUAGGGAGAACACUUGUACCUUGAAAUUUAGUGAGAGAUCAUCUUAUAAUGCUACCGCCGAACUAAGCAAAAUAAGAUGCAUAAAGGAUAAACAUCACAUGCAAUCAUAUAAGUGAUAUGAUAUGGCCAUCAUCAUCUUGUGCCUUUGAUCUCCAUCUCCAAAGCACCAUCAUGAUCACCAUCAUCACUGGCUUGACACUUUGAUCUCCAUCGAAGCAUCGUUGUCGUCCCGCCAACUAUUGCUUCUACGACUAUCGCUACCGCUUAGUGAUAAAGUAAAGCAAUUACAUGGCGAUUGCAUUUCAUACAAUAAAGCGACAACCAUAUGGCUCCUGCCAGUUGCUGACAACUGUUACAAAACAUGAUCAUCUCAUACAACAAAUUAUAUAUCAUCAGGUCUUGACCAUAUCACAUCACAACAUGCCCUGCAAAAACAAGUUAGACGUCCUCUACUUUGUUGUUGCAAGUUUUACGUGGCUGCUACGGGCUUCUAGCAAGAACCGUUCUUACCUACGGCAUAAAAACCACAACGUGGUAUAGUGAUUGCUUUUUGAUCUUCAGAAAGAACCCUGUUCAUUGAAUCCAAUUCAACGAAAGUUGGAGAAACUGACACCGGCUAGCCACCUAUGUGCAAAGCACGUCGGUAGAACCAGUCUCAUGAACGCAGUCAUGUAAUGUCGGUCCGGGCCGCUUCAUCCAACAAUACCGCCGAAUCAAUAAACAACUAGUGACAGCAAGCAAUAUUUAUAUACCCACGCCCACGACUCCUUUGUGUUCUACUCGUGCAUAUAACAUCUACGCGUAGACAUAGCUCAGAUGUCACUGUUGGGGAACGCAGUAUUUCAAAAAAAAUUCCUACGAUCACGCAAGAUCUAUCUAGGAGAUGCAUAGCAAUGAGCGGGGAGAGUGUGUCCGCGUACCCUCGUAGACCGAAAGCAGAAGCGUUUAGUAACGCAGUUGAUGUAUGAUACGUCUCCAACGCAUCUAAAUUUUUUAUUGUUCCAUGCUAUUAUAUUAUCUGUUUUGGAUGUUUAAUGGGCUUUAAUAUGCACUUUUAUAUUAUUUUUGGGACUAACCUAUUAACCAGAGGCCCAGUGCCAGUUUCUGUUUUUUUGUGCCUAUUUUAGUGUUUCGUAGUAAAGGAAUAUCAAACGGAAUCCAAACGGAACGAAACCUUCGUGAGGAUCUUUCUUGGAACAAAUGCAAACCAGGAGACUUGGAGUUGAAGUCUGGAACUCCAUGAAGCUUCCACGAGGCAGUAGGGCACGCCCAGGGGGUAGGCGCGCCCCCCACCUUCGUGGGCCCCACGGAGUUCCAUUGACGUACUUCUUUCACCUAUAUAUACUCUUAUACCCCAAAAACAUCAAGGGGAGCCACGAAACCACUUUUCCACCGCCGCAACCUUCUGUACCCAUAAGAUCCCAUUUGGGGCCUUUUUUGGCGAUCUGCCGGAGGGGGAUUCGAUCACUGAGGCCUUCUACAUCAACACCAUAGCCUCUCCGAUGAUGUGUGAGUAGUUUACCACAGACCUUCGGGUCCAUAGUUAUUAGCUAGAUGGCUUCUUCUCUCUCUUUGGUUCUCAAUACAAAGUUCUCCUCGAUGUUCUUGGAGAUCUAUUCAAUGUAAUUCUUUUUGCGGUGUGUUUGCCGAGAUCCGAUGAAUUGUGGAUUUAUGGUCAAGUUUAUCUAUGAACAAUAUUUGGUUCUUAUCUGAAUUCUUAUAUGCAUGAUUUGAUAUCUUCACAAAUCUCUUCGAAUUAUCGGUUUAGUUUGGCCUACUAGAUUGAUCUUUCUUGCAAUGGGAGAAGUGCUUAGCUUUGGGUUCAAUCUUGCGGUGUCCUUUCCCAGUGACAGUAGGGGCAGCAAGGCACGUAUUGUAUUGUUGCCAUCGAGGAUAAAAAGGUGGGGUUUAUAUCAUAUUGCUUGAGUUUAUCCCUCUACAUCAUGUCAUCUUGCCUAAAGCAUUACUUUGUUCCUAAUACUCUAGAUGCAUGCUGGAUAGUGGUCGAUGUGUGGAGUAAUAGUAGUAGAUGCAGAAUUGUUUCAUUCUACUUAACAUGGAUGUGAUGCCUAUAUUUCUUAAUCAUUGCCUAGAUAUUCUCAUCACUAUGCGCUCUUCUAUCAAUUGAUCGGCAGUAAUUUGUUCACCCAUCGUAAUACAUGCUAUCAUGAGAGAAGCCACUAGUGAAACCUAUGGCCCCCAGGUCUCUUCCUUAUUAUAUUAUAUCUCUUUUAUUAUUGCAUAUCGUUUACUAUUUUGCAAUCUAUACAACAAAAAUACCAAAAAUGUUUACCUUAUUAUCUUUAUCAGAUAUCACUUCCGCAAGUGACUGUGAAGGGAUUGACAACCCCUUUAUCGCAUUGGUUGUGAGGUUCUUGAUUGUUUGUGUAGGUACUGGGUGACUUGCGUGUUAUCUCCUACUGGAUUGAUACCUUGGUUCUCAAAAACUGAGGGAAAUACUUAUGCUACUUUGCUGCAUUACCCUUUCCUCUUCAAGGGAAAACCAACACAUGCUCAAGAGGUAGCAAGAAGGAUUUCUGGCGCCGUUGCCCAGGAGAUUUACGCUCAAGUCAAGACAUACCAAGUACCCAUCACAAACUCUUCUCCCUCGCAUUACAUUAUUCGCCAUUUGCCUCUCGUUUCCUCUCCCCCACUUCACCUUUGCCAUUUUAUUUGCCCCUUUUCCGUUUGUAUCUUUUUGCUCGCUUCUUGUGUGCUUGUGUGUUAGAUCUUUUAUUUGCCCUCAUGGCUAGUUCUCCUAUCAUUGUUAACACUCCCGAUAAUGAAGUUCUUAAUUUUAAAUAAAGGGAUGGAGAAAAUCUAAAAGAUGCUUGGUAUAGAAUUUGCAAUGCUCAAAAUAGAUCUACUAAAAAGAAAUCUACUUCCGUUCUUCUUCACAAUUUUUACGUAGGCAUCACUCCUUGGUAUAUAUAUGUUCUUGACACCAUUACUGGAGGGAAUUUCUUGGGAACCAUACUUUCGAUUCUUAUAAUGCUAUGAUAGAUUUGUUAGGCCCACCACCUCUUUUGGUAAUGGAACUAUUUUAACUUUGGAACAUGUGAUGCAAAGGCUUGAUAUUAUUGAAAAUAAAAUUGCCACUGUAGAGUUAAUCGAAAAUUUGGAUAAAAAGAUUCACAACCAAAUUACUCAAUAUGGAUCUGAGGUAGGAGUUACUCUGAAAAAUCUUAAGGAAAAGGAACCCAUAGCCAAUGAGAAGAUAGAUCAAGAUUCCAUUAGAAUUGAUAAACUCAAAGAUAUCAUUACCAACUUGGGGUCCGCCUUCUCUUCCGUUAAAAAUACCUCAAAUACUCCUCCUACCAAAGUUGCCAAAUUUAUGUUCCUAAAAUAAGGGUGAAUCUUCGAGUAAGAAAAAUGAAUAUCUUAAAUCAAUAAGUGUUCACCCCAACUUUUUAGAUAUCAUUAAGGAACCUUUUGCUACAAAUGAAUUUCUUGAUUUCCUACCUAGGAGUUUGAUCAUUAGCAAAAACAAAGAACCUCCUAAGGGUUAUAAGUGUUCAAUUGAAGAAUUGCAUACCGAAGAUGACAAUACCUAGAUCUAUUCUUGCUUUUAUGCCUAGCUAGGGGCGUUAAACGAUAGCGCUUGUUGGGAGGCAACCCAAUUUUAUUUUUGUUCUUUACUUUUUGUUCCUGUUUAGUAAUAAGUAGUUUAUCUAGCCUCUGUUAUGAUUGUGUUUUUUAUGUUUUAAUUAGUGUUUGUGCCAAGUAAAGCCUUUAGGAUCUUCUUGGGUGAUUGUUGUUUGAUCUUGCUGAUAAAAACAGAAAGUAUGCGCUCACGAGAAUAAUUUUCAUAUUUUACCAAAGAGCGAUAAAAUACCAAUUCCAACUGCAGUAGAUCAAUAUACAAAUUAUUUAGGCCAUCCUAAUUUUUCAGAAAUUUUGGAGUCACAUAAGUAUUAGAAACCUCCAGAUUGCUACAGACUGUUCUGUUUUGACAGAUUCUGUUUUUCGUGUGUUGUUUGCUUAUUUUGAUGAAACUAUGGCUAGUAUCGGGGGGUAUGAACCAUAGAGAAGUUGGAAUACAGUAGGUUUAACACCAAUAUAAAUAAAGAAUGAGUUAAUUACAGUACAUUAAAGUGGUGGUUUGUUUUCUUAUACUAACGUAGCUCAUGAGAUUUUCUGUUGAGUUUUGUGUUGUGAAGUUUUCAAGUUUUUGGGUAAAGAUUUGAUGGAUUUUGGAACAAGGAGUGGCAGGAGCCUAAUCUUGAGGAUUCCCAAGGCACCCCAAGGUAAAAUUCAAGGACAACCAAAAUCCUAAACUUGGGGAUGCCCCGGAAGGCAUCCCCUCUUUCUUCUUCAUCUAUCGGUAACUUUACUUGAGGCUAUAUUUUUAUUCACCACAUGAUAUGUGUUUUGCUUGGAGCGUCUUGAUUUCAGUCUUUGCUUUUUAGUUUACCACAAUCAUCCUUUCUGUACACACCUUUUGGGAGAGACACACAUGAAUCAGAAUUUAUCAGAAUACUCUAUGUGCUUCACUUAUAUCUUUUGAGCUAGAUAAUUUUGCUCUAGUGCUUUGCUUAUAUCUUUUUAGAGCACAGUGGUGGUUUUAUUUUAUAGAAAUUUUUGAUCUCUCAUGCUUCACUUAUAUUAUUUUGAGAGUCUUUUAGAACAACAUGGUAAUUUGCUUUGGUUAUAAAAUUUGUCCUAAUAUGAUAGGCAUCCAAGAUGGGUAUAAUAAAAACUUUCAUAUAGAGUGCAUUGAAUAGUUUGAUACUUGAUAAUUGUUUUGGGAUAUAAAGAUGGUAAUAUUAGAGUCAUGCUAGUUGAGUAAUUGUGAAAUUGAGAAAUACUUGUGUUGAGGUUGGCAAGUCCCAUAGCAUGCACGUAUGGUAACCGUUGUGUAACAAAUUGAAGCAUGAGGUGUUCUUUGAGUGCCUUCCUUAUGAGUGGCAGUCGGGGACGAGCGAUGGUCUUUUCCUACCAAUCUAUCCCGCUAGGAGCAUGCACGCAGUGCUUGGUUUUGAUGACUUGUAGAUUUUUGCAAUAAUUAUGUGAGUUCUUUAUGACUAAUGUUGAGUUCAUGGAUUAUACACACUCUCACCCUUCCACCAUUGCUAGCCUCUCUUGUGCCACACAACUUUCACCGGUACCAUAAACCCAUCAUUUACCUUCCUCAAAACAGCCACCAUACCUACCUAUUAUGGAAUUUCCAUAGCCAUUCCGAGAUAAAUUGCCAUGCGACUUUCCACCGUUCCGUUUAUUAUGGUAUGCUUCAUCAUAGUCAUAUUGCUUUGCAUGAUCAUGUAGUUGACAUCGUAUUUGUGGCAUGGCCACCAUUCAUAAUUUUUUAUACAUGUCACUCUUGAUUCAUUGCACAUCCCAGUACACCGCCGGAGGCAUUCACAUAGAGUCAUAUUUUUUUCUAAGUAUCAAGUUGUAAUUCUUGAGUUGUAAGUAAAUAAAAGUGUGAUGAUCUUCAUUAUUAGAGCAUUGUCCCAUGUGAGGAAAGGAUGAUGGAGACUAUGAUUCCCCCACAAGUCGGGAUGAGACUCCGGAUGAAAAAAAGAGGCCAUAAAAAAGGGAGAAAGCCCAAACAAAAAAAAUAAAAAUAAUAAAUAAAUGAGAGAAAAAGAGAGUAAGGGGCAAUGUUACUAUCCUUUUUCCACACUUGUGCUUCAAAGUAGCACCAUGAUCUUCAUGAUAGAGAGUCUCUUAUGUUGUCACUUUCAUAUACUAGUGGGAAUUUUACAUUAUAGAACUUGGCUUGUAUAUUCCAAUGAUGGGCUUCCUCAAAUUACCCUAGGUCUUCGUGAGCAAGCAAGUUGGAUGCACACCCACUUAGUUGCUUUUGUUGAUUUUUCAUACACUUAUAGCUCUACUACAUCUAUUGCAUGGCAAUCCCUACUCACUCACAUUGAUAUCUAUCGAUGGGCAUCUCCAUAGCCCAUUGAUACGCCUAGUUGAUGUGAGACUAUCUUCCUCCCUUUUGUCUUCUCCACAACCACCAUUCUAUUCCACCCAUAGUGCUAUGUCCAUGGCUCGCGCUCAUAUAUUGCGUAAAAGUUGAAAAAGUUUGAAAAGGCUAAGUAUGAAACAAUUGCUUGGCUUGUCAUCGGGGUUGUGCAUGAUGGGAGCAUUUUGUGUGAUAGAAAUGAAGCAUGGCCAAACUAUAUGAUUUUGUAGGGAUGAGCUUUCUUUGGCUAUGUUAUUUUGAGAAGACAUAAUUGCUUCGUUAGUAUGCUUGAAGUAUUAUUAUUUUUAUGUCAAUAUUAAACUUUUGUCUUGAAUCUUUGGGUCUGAACAUUCAUGACACAAUAAAUAAAAUUACAUUGAAAAUCAUGUUAGGUAGCAUUCCACAUCAAAAAUUCUGUUUUUAUCAUUUGCCUACUCAAGGACGACCAGGAAUUAAACUUGGGGAUGCUUGAUACAUCUCCAACGUAUCUAUAAUUUUGGAUUGUUCCAUGCUAUUAUAUUAUCUGUUUUGGAUGUUUAUGGGCUUCAAUAUGCACUUUUAUAUUAUUUUUGGGACUAACCUAUUAACCGAAGGCCCAGUGCUAGUUUCUGUUUUUUUGCCUAUUUUAGUGUUUCGCGGAAAAGGAAUAUCAAACGGAAUGAAACCUUCACGAGGAUCUUUCUUGGAACAAACGCAAACCAGGAGACUUGGAGUUGAAGUCUGGAACUCCGUGAAGCUUCCACGAGGCAGGAGGGCGCGCCCAAGGGGCGUAGGCGCGCCCCACCCUCGUGGGCCCCACGGAGCUCCACCGACGUACUUCUUUCGCCUAUAUAUACUCUUAUACCCCAAAAACAUCAAGGGGAGCCACAAAACCACUUCUCCACCGCCGCAACCUUCUGUACCCGUGAGAUCCCAUCCGGGGCCUUUUUCGGCGAUCUGUCGGAGGGUGAUUCGAUCACUGAGGCCUUCUACAUCAACACCAUAGCCUCUCCGAUGAUGUGUGAGUAGUUUACCAUAGGCAUUUGGGUCCAUAGUUAUUAGCUAGAUGGCUUAUUCUCUCUCUUUGGUUCUCAAUACAAAGUUCUCCUCGAUGUUCUUGGAGAUCUAUUCGAUGUAAUUCUUUUUGCGGUGUGUUUGCCAAGAUCCGAUGAAUUGUGGAUUUAUGGUCAAGUUUAUCUAUGAACAAUAUUUGGUUCUUAUCUGAAUUCUUAUAUGCAUGAUUUGAUAUCUUCACAAGUCUCUUUGAAUUAUCGGUUUAGUUUGGCCUACUAUAUUGAUCUUUCUUGCAAUGGGAUAAGUGCUUAGCUUUAGGUUCAAUCUUGCGGCGUCCUUUCCCAGUGACAGUAGGGGCAGCAAGGCACGUAUUGUAUUGUUGCCAUCGAGGAUAAAAAGAUGGGGUUUAUAUCAUAUUGCUUGAGUUUAUCCCUCUACAUCAUGUCAUCUUGCCUAAAGCAUUACUCUGUUCUUAUGAACUUAAUACUCUAGAUGCAUGCUGGAUAGCGGUCGAUGUGUGGAGUAAUAGUAGUAGAUGCAGAAUCGUUUCGGUCGACUUAACAUGGACGUGAUGCCUAUAUUUCAUAAUCAUUGCCUAGAUAUUCUCAUAACUAUGCGCUCUUCUAUCAAUUGCUCAGCAGUAAUUUGUUCACCCACCGUAAUACAUGCUAUCAUGAGAGAAGCCACUAGUGAAACCUAUGGCCCCCGGGUCUCUUCCUUAUUAUAUUGCAUCUCUUUUACUAUCGCAUCUUGUUUACUAUUUUGCAAUCUAUACAACAAAAAUAACAAAAAUAUUUACCUUACUAUCUUUAUCAGAUCUCACUUUCGCAACUGACCGUGAAGGGAUUGACAACCCCUUUAUCGCGUUGGUUGCGAGGUUCUUGAUUGUUUGUGCAGGUACUAGGUGACUUGCGUCUUAUCUCCUACUGGGUUGAUACCUUGAUACUCAAAAACUAAGGGAAAUACUUAUGCUACUUUGCUGCAUCACCCUAUCAUCUUCAAGGGAAAACCAACGCAUUCUCAAGAGGUAGCAAUGUAGUCGAACAUCUUCGCGAUCCAACCAAUCCAAGUACCGAACGCACGACACCUCCGUGAUCUGCACACGUUCAACUCGGUGAAGUCCCUCGAACUCUUGAUCCAGUUGAGGCCGAGGAAGAGUUUCGUCAGCACGACGGCGUGGUAACGGUGAUGAUGAAGUUACCGACGCAAGGCUUCGCCUAAGAACUACGACAAUAUGACCGAGGUGGAAAAUUGUGGAAGGGGGCACCACACAUGGGUAAGACAAAUCUUUGAGUGCCUUUGGGGUGCCCUCCUGCCCACGUAUAUAAAGGAGGGGGAAGAGGAGUCCGGCCUAGGAGUGGAGCACCUAUAGGGGGGUCCAACUAGGAUUCCCAAUCCUAGUUGGAAUCCCCUUCCUUUUCCAAGAGGGGAGAGAGGGAAGGAGUAGGAGAGGGAGAAGGAAAGAGAGGGGGCGUCGCCCCCUCCCUAGUCCAAUUCGGACUUCCCAUGGGGGGCGCGCGGCCACCCCCUUGAGGCCCUUCUCUCCUCUCCCGUAUGGCCCAUUAAGGCCCAGUACUUCCCCCGGCGAAUUCCUAUAACUCUACGGUACUUCGAAAAAUACCCGAAUCACUCGGAACCUUUUCGAUGUCUGAAUAUAGCCUUCCAAUAUGUCGAUCUUUAUGUCUCGACCAUUUUGAGAUUCCUCGUCAUGUCCGUGAUAUCAUCUGGGACUCCGAACAAUCUUAGGUACAUCAAAUCACAUAACUCAUAAUACAAAUCGUCAUCAAACGUUAAGCAUGCGGACCCUAUAGGUUCGAGAACUGUGUAGACAUGACCGAGACACAUCUCCGGUCAAUAACCAAUAGAGGAACCUGGAUGCUCAUAUGGCUCCUACAUAUUGUACGAAGAUCUUUAUCGGUCAAACCGCAUGAGGGAGUCCUGGAUUAGGGGGUCUCCGGACAGCCGGACUAUAUCCUUUGGCCGGACUGUUGGACUAUGAAGAUACAAGAUUGAAGACUUCGUCUCGUGUUCGGAUGGGACUCUAUUUGGCGUGGAAGGCAAGCUAGGCAAUACGGAUAUGGAUAUCUCCUUCUUUGUAACCGACCUUGUGUAACCCUAACCCUCUCCGGUGUCUAUAUAAACCGGAGGGUUUUAGUCCGUAGGACAACAACUACAACAUACAAUCAUACCAUAGGCUAGCUUCUAGGGUUUAGCCUCUCUGAUCUCGUGGUAGAUCUACUCUUGUACUACCCAUAUCAUCAAUAUUAAUCAAGCAGGACGUAGGGUUUUACCUCCAUCAAGAGGGCCCGAACCUGGGUAAAACAUCGUGUUCCCUGCCUCUUAUUACCAUCUGGCCUAGACGCACAGUUCGGGACCCCCUACUCGAGAUCCGCCGGUUUUGACACCGACAUUGGUACUUUCAUUGAGAGUUCCUCUGUGUCGUCGUCGUUAGGCUUGAUGGCUCCUACUAUCAUCGAUAGCGAUGCAGUCCAGGGUGAGACUUUUCUCCCCGAACAGAUCUUCGUCUUCGGCGGCUUUGCACUGCGGGCCAAUUCGCUUGGCCAUCUGGAGCAGAUUGAAAGUUACGCCCCUGGCCACCAGGUCAGGUUUGGAAGCUUAAACUACAUGGCCGAUAUCCGUGGAGACUUGAUCUUCGACGGAUUCGAGCCUCUGCCUUGCAUGUCACAUGGUCACGAUGAGUACGAUUUAGCUCUAACAUCGGACAGUGUUCAGGAGAUCGCACCGGCAGCCGCUCCGACCCUCAAUUCGGAGCUAGUUGCGCCUUCCGUGGACGGGUGGAUGGACCCCGCCACGGAGGCCUUACCCUCAACAGCGAUCAAGCCGAACAUCGACCUUACCUUGCACGAGAGCCGUGUUGUUAAACUGCUGGAUCCUUCUUCGGCCACGGACUCCGAACCGCCUGCGCCCGUUCCUAUCGAAUCUGAUUGGGCGCCGAUCAUGGAGUUUACCUCCGCGGAUAUUUUUCAGCACUCACCCUUUGGCGACAUACUGAACUCAUUAAGAUCUCUCUCCUUGUCAGGAGGAUCCUGGCCGAACUAUGUCCGGCAGGACUGGGAUGCGGACGACGAAGAAAUUCGAGGCCCACCCACCACCCACUUAGUAGCCACUGUCGAUGACUUAACCGACAUGCUCGACUUCGACUCCGAAGACAUCGACGGUAUGGACGACGAUGCGGGAGGCGAAGAGGAACCACCGCCCACAGGGCACAGGACAGCCACCUCAUCAUACGAUAUAUACAUGGUGGGUACACCCAAAGAAGGCAAUGGCGACGAGAUAGCGGAGGAUGACCCCUCCAAGAAGCAACCCAAGCGCCGACGUCAGCGGCGCCGCUCUAAGUCCCGCCAUAGCAAAAGUGGUGAUACCGGCACAGGAGAUAAUAACACUCCGGAUAGUGCCAAAGACAACAAAAAUCCCCUCCAGCAAGAUUUAGAGCAGGAGGAUGGAGGAGCCAGCCCUCCUGAGAGAGCGGCAGACGGAGAGGAGGAGGAUGAUAAUUACAUGCCCCCCUCCGAAGACGAGGCAAGCCUCGGCGACGACGAAUUCGCCGUACCAGAGGAUCCCGUCGAACAAGAGCGCUUCAAGCGCCGGCUUAUGGCCACGGCAAAUAGCCUGAAGAUAAAGCAGCAGUAGCUUCAAGCUGAUUAGGAUCUACUAGCUCACAGAUGGACUGAAGUCCUCGCGGCCGAGGAAUAUAAACUCGAGCGCCCCUCCAAGAGUUACCCAAAAUGCAGGUUGCUACCCCAACUGGAGGAAGAAACGUAUGACGCGGCUGAUCGGCCACCUCGUGGCCGCGAUAACGAGGCAUUCCAGCCAAAAACUCAGCCCGCACUCCGACGCCAUUCAAAUAAAAAGGCAUGGGGAGAUACGCCAGACCUGCGAGACAUAUUAGAGGACAAAGCAAAGCAUGCAAGAUCGAUCUACGGAUCACGAGGGCGCGCCACUAUGCGAGACGAUAAACGUCACGCCGGAUACAGUCAAAGUAAAUCCGGCCAGGCCGAACACAGCGGGCAAGACCCAUUCGAGCUGUGUCGCGAUAUAGCCCAAUACAGAGGCGCCGCACACCCCUUAUGCUUCACAGACGAAGUAAUGGAUCAUCAAAUCCCAGAAGGUUUCAAACCUAUAAAUAUUGAAUCAUACGACGGCACAACAGAUCCCGCAGUAUGGAUCGAUGUAACAUCCCAAAUUUUCAAUUUGGAAUGUUAUACAUUAGAUCAUCAUGCAUGUCAUAUUUUCUUGCAUUUUGCCCGAUCCUAGAAAUUUCACGCAACUCAAGGACCCUCGGAGAGAGUUGGAGAUUUCGUUAUUUUCAUAUUUGAGUUUUCUCAAAUUUUGUAAAGAGGAUCAUUUGAUUUAUUUAUUUUAUCUUCAAUUAUUUUUCCGGUGUCAAAAUAUAUGAGAGAGGGAAUAAUAUGACUUUCCCAAAUUUAGGAAAAAUGAAGAUUUAAUAAAUAGAUCAAUUUUUGGUUUUGCCGGAGUUUUGUUUGCUUUUUAUUUGGAUAGAGAAAAAUGCGCGUUUUCAGAAAUUGCAUUUUAGGCCCGGAGAAAAGUUCAUUUUGUUCGACUCAUUUUUAGGAGUCGGGGAAAAUUUACUUUAGUAAUUUUGGAGCUCGUUUAGAUUUUUCUUUUCUGUGUUUUUCUGCGCGUGAAACCGAAAAAAAAAUCCGCAGCGCCUUGGGCCAAGGCCCAGCCAGCAGGCCGGCCGUCCAGGCCCCAGCCCCGCGCGCGCCAGGCGCCAGGCGCCAGCGCCCCAGGUCGCCGCCUCUCGCUCGAGCCGAGUCCCAGCGGGACUCUGGCCACCGUAGCCCCCUCUUUCCUUUGUUUCGUUUUCCUUUUCCUACUCUAUUUCUUGUCCCCUACCCCAAGAAACCCCCUCCCCUCACCUAUAUAAAUACACCCCAAAACCCCCCUCUCCUCACAUCAAAACCCCAAGCCCCUCUCCUCCUAAGCCGCAGCAAGCAGCAGCGCGCAGCCCCAAGCCGCCGCCUUAGCUGCGCCGCCCCGCGCCUAAGCCGCCGCCGCCGCCGCCCGGAGCCCGCCUCCCGAGGUAGCCACGCCUCUCUUUUUCUUCCCCGGUCCGGUUUUUCCUAAAAGAACCGUUCCGUUUUCCCUCCAAUUCUUUUCUUUUUUUUUCCGUUUUUUGUUUCGGUUUUCUUCCGAAACCCUAGAUCGGUUUUCCGUUUCUUUUUCGAUUUCUUUUCCGAAAACCCUAGAUCGGUUUUCGUUCUUCUUUCGGACCGUUCGUCUCGACGAACGUGAUCACCGAUUAUUCCCCGGUUAACGAACGUCUGUUCGUUUAACUGUUCGUCUCUUUCUUUUCGUCGGAUUUAUUCCGCGAUCGUGAUCUCAGAUCCGAUCUUCGUUCUAGUCUUUCUUCUCGCUCGUUUAUCGGAAUCAGGUGAUUCAAGCGCCUGGAGUUUCGUUUCGAAACCGCCGUUCCGUCUAAUCAACUUAAACAAGUUUUUGCCCCGGUAAAAUUUGACCUAGUUUCAACUUGCUAGAACCGAGUUGUUUUCUUCUGCCGCUUGUUUUCCGUUUCUUUGUUCGGUUCGUUCUUUCUUUUGCCAACCGGAGUUCUUAAGUUGAACUUCCUGGUUCGUUCUCCUGUUCGAGUUUUACCUGUGCAUUAGGUGAGUACUUAUUGUAUGCUUGUUGUUUGUCUGUGAUAGAUCACCCGGAUUGCGCCGCUUGUUACUUCGAAACCCUAGGUCUCGCGGAUCAUCAGCAAGGCAAGUAACACUUUGAUCAUACCUUUUUCUACAACCCAGUUUUAUUGCAUUAGAUAAAUCCUCACACAUUGCAUGAUUAGGAUCUAAUUAAACUGUGGGAUGGGAAGUAGAUGAGGUAGUACCUAUUACCUGUAUUGUUAUGAAACCUUUGGGAGUUACUUCUACGUUUGCUUAUUAUGCCAUGCUAUGCUAGUAGACGUGGAUUGGGUGAGUGAUAUCCAUGACAGAUGUGAGUUGAUAAUUUUAAUGGUUUAUCUAAGGUGGCAACUUAAACACACAUCUGGGUGGAUUGAGGCACCUGAUGUCUAUCAGGACUUGCCUGUUUUAUUUUGGACCGCCACCCAGGCUCAAAGGGAUCAUAAGAUCAUUCAUGCUAGAAACUUCCGUGUGCAGCCACAUGCUACUAUGGGCUCUGGCAUAGUUGACUAAGUUGUGCGAACUCUUACGGGGUGGACUAGCAGAUGUAGGGGUUGUAGGUGGUACGGUCUACCCCACAUGUAAGGUGCUAGCGCUUCUGAAAGACUAUGUCUCGGUCAUCCGUUUCUCAAACACCAUGUAGUGCGAGAAAACAAACGGAGGCGAUUGAGUCAUGUGGGGAAAAGUGCGCAAACCUCUGCAGAGUGUACAAACUAAUCAUGAUUAGCCGUGUCCCCGGUUACGGACAACUUGAGUAUCUAGUACUUGAAUAUCAUGUGAAUCUCAACAUGUUACUUCUAAUUAAUGUUGUUGGGUUUUUAAUUGUUCACUUAAUUGGGAUCGGAAUGCUGUCAACCAUUCUCGAUGUUUAACAACUACCAUGAUAGUUAAACAAAUUUAUUCCUUUGCAGUAGGGAAAAACUGGCUUUACGCAAAACUGUAACCAUAGAGCUUUCCACCAGCCAUAUAUGCAUAUAGUAUAGAUGUUUCAUUCCAUUACUCUCUAUGUGUUACGUUGCCAGCAUAUUCCAUGUGCUGACCCGUUUUCGGGCUGCAACUUCUCAUGUUGCAGACUUUUCAGAUGACGAGUAAGGUGCUUUUAGGUCGUGGCCCUAUACUCAAUGAUGCCGUUGGAGUUGAUGGACCCAUUUAUCUUCUGAGUCUUCCGCUGUUAUCGUUAUUAGAUGACCUUAAGCCAUAUUUAUUGUAAAAGUUCUCUUUGAGACAACGAUGUAAUAAGUGUGUGAUUGCCACUCUGCUAUAAAUCCUUCGAUGUACUGUGUGGUGUCAGCAUUACUGAUCCAGGGAUGACACCUGAGCACAGAGCACUUGAUCCAUUCGGGUCAGGUCGCGACAGAGAUGGUAUCAGAGCACACGCUGACUGUAGGACACGACCACUAAGUUAAAGCCAUAGAUCACCAUUCUCUUCUCAUUUUCUAAACUCCUCAUCCUUUCUACUCUUUUAGGAUGACGAACGCGAAGAUUAAGUACGCCCAACCGGAUGAAGGCACACCAUUUGGAUUUCACCUGAAGGAAGUCACCAAGUACCUGAACAUUGGAUUACCAAGCUUCACGGGAACCUUCAACGCCACUCUGCCUGAAGAGGAGCGCUGGAAGAUUCAAACUCACGUUCCGAGAAGGACAUUCGCACCAAUCACGAAGCCCAUAGAUAGUGUUUUCAAUGCACCAACCUGGAGUCUGGGAAGGAGCAUGGCAGCUCAUAUCACCAUAGGACGCAUUGGAGAAGUUUACCAAGAAGACCUCAAGGACACUAUCUACCAGAUUUGCGGACGCCAAGAUGAACAAUGGGAGUUAGUCAGCACCAAGAAGGAUAGAUCCAUUGCAUCUUUCAUCCAGGAGUUAAACCAGCACAUUCGACGCCACGAGAACCAGAUGUGCAAUGAUAUGAUAGAGUUGAAGAAUGCAAAGGCAAGGAUCAUCGAGCUAGAAGGAGAACUCAGGUCUACACGCAAGGACUACAUGGAUGAGAUCGUAGCUCUAGCAAAGCACAAUGGCGAUCUUAAGCAGGAGAUUGAAGAACUCAAGAGGAAGUUAGCAUCCACGGAGGAAGACAAGUACGUCGCAUGUCCGAACAACUACAUCAUCAUCGACGACACUGAUUCGGAUCCAAGUGAACCCGACUUUGAAGACGAAGCUGGAGCAGAUAUCAUGGAGUCUUCCACCGGUUCAAAUUUCUAGAUGACCACCAGAUAGUAGUAGCAUUUCCCCCCUGUAAACAUUAUAGUUCGAGCACUUUUGCGAUAGUUUUAGACCGAUUGUAAGCCCUUGUUUGAUUGAAUGAAGUGAUUUUGUGUGCAUUUGCUCAUGUGCAUUGGCGUAGUGUUUUCCCUUUAGACCUCACUCUAUUCUUAAUUCUCGUCUUUUCUAAACCCUUAGAUGCCUCCGAGACGUGACAAUGGAUUCCCACCAGAGCUCACUCAGUUGAUCCAGCAACAGAAUCAAUUGAUGCAGAUGUUAGUCCAGAACCAACAGAACAACAACAACCCACCACCACCACCACCACCUGUUGACCACUUAGCCCGUUUCCUUAGGCUGAAUCCGCCGGUGUUUUCCAGUAGCACCGAGCCGAUAGUAGCAGACGAUUGGCUCCGCAAGAUAGGAAGGGAGUUGACCACUGCAGGAUGCACAGAUGGUGAGAAAGUGAAGUUUGCCACUCACCAGCUUAACGGACCCGCGGCAGCAUGGUGGGAGAAUUUCACAGCCACUUACCCAGUUGACACUGUCACAUGGGAUCAGUUUCAGCAAGCUUUCUGCACUGCCCAUGUUUCAGCAGGAGCAAUGGCCAUGAAGAAGCGUGAGUUUCGUAACUUACGCCAAGGAGGACGAACAGUUGGACAGUAUGUGGAGGAGUUUAGUAAGCUAGCACGUUAUGCCCCAGAUGACGUUGCUACGGAUGCAGCUAAGCAGGAGAAGUUUAUGGAAGGACUGAAUGAUGAACUAAGCAUGAAGUUGAUGGUAGCCACCUUCAACAACUACCAGGAGUUGGUAGAUCAUGCUCUUAUGAUUGAAGGGAAGCAGCAGCAAAUUGAGAACCGCAAGAGGAAGUAUGGACAAGGAAAGUAUAAUUCAGGAGCUCAGCAGAAGCCCCGUUUUACCCCAAAACCGGGAUUUCAGUUUCAGCAUACCCAUGGAGGAGGUAGCUCGCACAACCAUAAUGGCCACAAGAAUGGUAAUGGGAAUGGAGGAAGCAACGGCCAGAACCGGACCACCCCAUCGACCCCAACCAAGAGAGACCUGAGUCAAGUCACUUGUUUCAAGUGUUCCAAGACCGGACAUUAUGCCAAUGAAUGUCCCGAAGGACAGAAUGGAAAUGGCAAUGGAAGCUCUGGGAAGAAGCCGAACCCUUUCAAUAGGGGACAGGUGAACCACAUUAAUGUGGAGGAGGUUGAAGAUCAGCCUGAUGCAGUAAUCGGUAAGUUUCUGGUUAAGUCAUUUACCGCACUCGUUCUUUUUGAUACUGGUGCAUCGCAUUCAUGCAUAUCAAGGCGAUUUGUGGAUAAAUAUAACCUGCCAACCCAAGCCCUUAGGUCACCCAUGUUAGUAAGCUCACCAGGAGCGGAGUUUAUGGCUAGACGAUGGUGUGAUCGGUUACCAUUAAGGAUUGGUAACUAUGUGUUUCCCUCAGACCUAAUAGUAUUGGAAUCUCAAGGGUUGGAUGUGAUAUUAGGCAUGGAUUGGUUAUCAAAGUAUAAAGGGAAUAUUGAGUGUGCCAGUAAGACAAUUUUUCUUACCACACCAGAAGGAAGAAGGAUCAAGUAUGUAUCCCGGCAUGUGCCAAACAGGACACAAGUAAACUGCCUAACAGGAGUUGUGCAAGAGGAAGUACCAGUGGUGAAGGAUUUUCCUGAUGUAUUUCCUGAGGAAUUGCCAGGCAUGCUACCGGAUAGAGACAUUGAGUUUUUGAUUGAGUUUUGCCAGGUACAGGCCCAAUAUCGAAGCGACCGUACCGGAUGCCAACAAAGGAUUUGGUGGAAAUUAAGAAUCAGAUUAAGGAGUUAUUGGAUAAAGGGUACAUUCGCCCAAGUUCUUCGCCUUGGGGAUCACCCGUACUUCUAGUGGAAAAGAAGGAUGGAUCAUUAAGGAUGGUUGUAGAUUAUCGGGGAUUGAAUGAAGUAACCAUCAAGAACAAGUACCCACUGCCAAUGAUCAACGAGAACUAUCGGGUUCGAGAACUAUGUAGACAUUACCGAGACACGUCUCCGGUCAAUAACCAAUAGCGGAAUCUGGAUGCUCAUAUUGGCUCCUACAUAUUCAACGAAGAUCUUUAUCGGUCAGACCGCAUAACAACAUACGUUGUUCCCUUUGUCAUCGGUAUGUUACUUGCCCGAGAUUCGAUCGUCGGUAUCUCAAUACCUAGUUCAAUCUCGUUACCGACAAGUCUCUUUACUCGUUCCGUAAUACAUCAUCCUGCAACUAACUUAUUAGUUGCAAUGCUUGCAAGGCUUGAGUGAUGUGCAUUACUGAGAGGGCCCAGAGAUACCUCUCCGACAAUCAGAGUGACAAAUCCUAAUCUCGAAAUACGCCAACCCAACAAGUACCUUCGGAGACACCUGUAGAGCACCUUUAUAAUCACCCAGUAACAUUGUGACGUUUGGUAGCACACAAAGUGUUCCUCCGGUAAACGGGAGUUGCAUAGUCUCAUAGUCAUAGGAACAUGUAUAAGUUAUGAAGAAAGCAAUAGCAACAAACUAAACGGUCAAGUGCUAAGCUAACGGAAUGGGUCAAGUCAAUCACAUCAUUCUCCUAAUGAUGCGAUCCCGUUAAUCAAAUGGCAACUCAUGUCUAUGGUUAGGAAACAUAACCAUCUUUGAUUAACGAGCUAGUCAAGUAGAGGCAUACUAGUGACUCUCUGUUUUUGUCUAUGUAUUCACACAUGUAUUAUGUUUUCGGUUAAUACAAUUCUAGCAUGAAUAAUAAACAUUUAUCAUGAUAUAAGGAAAUAAAUAAUAACUUUAUUAUUGCCUCUACGGAAUAUUUCCUUCAGUCUCCCACUUGCACUAGAGUCAAUAAUCUAGAUUACACAGUAAUGAUUCUAACACCCAUGGAGCCUUGGUGAUGAUCAUGUUUUGCUCGUGGAAGAGGCUUAGUCAGCGGGUCUGCAACAUUCAGAUCCGUAUGUAUCUUGCAAAUUUCUAUGUCUCCCACUUGGACUAAAUCCCGAAUGGAAUUGAAGCGUCUCUUGAUGUGUUUGGUUCUCUUGUGAAAUCUGGAUUCCUUUGCCAAGGCAAUUGCACCAGUAUUGUCACAAAAGAUUUUCAUUGGACCCGGUGCACUAGGUAUGACACCUAGAUCGGAUAUGAACUCCUUCAUCCAGACUCCUUCAUUUGCUGCUUCCGAAGCAGCUAUGUACUCCGCUUCACAUGUAGAUCCCGCCACGAUGCUUUGUUUAGAACUGCACCAACUGACAGCUCCACUGUUCAGUAAAAACACGUAUCCGAUUUGCGAUUUAGAAUCGUCCGGAUCAGUGUCAAAGCUUGCAUCAACGUAACCAUUUACGAUGAGCUCUUUGUCACCUCCAUAUACGAGAAACCUAUCCUUAGUCCUUUUCAGGUAUUUCAGGAUGUUCUUGACCGCUGUCCAGUGAUCCACUCCUGGAUUACUUUGGUACCUCCCUGCUAGACUUAUAGCAAGGCACACAUCAGGUCUGGUACACAACAUUGCAUACAUGAUAGAGCCUAUAGCUGAAGCAUAGGGAACAUCUUUCAUUUUCUCUCUAUCUUCUGCGGUGGUCGGACAUUGAGUCUUACUCAACUUCACACCUUGUAACACAGGCAAGAACCCUUUCUUUGCUUGAUCCAUUUUGAACUUCUUCAAAACCUUGUCAAGGUAUGUGCUUUGUGAAAGUCCAAUUAAGCGUCUUGAUCUAUCUCUAUAGAUCUUAAUGCCCAAUAUGUAAGCAGCUUCACCGAGGUCUUUCAUUGAAAAACUCUUAUUCAAGUAUCCCUUUAUGCUAUCCAGAAAUUCUAUAUCAUUUCCAAUCAAUAAUAUGUCAUCCACAUAUAAUAUCAGAAAUGCUACAGAGCUCCCACUCACUUUCUUGUAAAUACAGGCUUCUCCAAAAGUCUGUACAAAACCAAAUGCUUUGAUCAAACUAUCAAAGCGUUUAUUCCAACUCCGAGAGGCUUGCACCAGUCCAUAAAUGGAUCGCUGGAGCUUGCACACUUUGUUAGCUUCCUUUGGAUUGACAAAACCUUCUGGUUGCAUCAUAUACAACUCUUCUUCCAGAAAUCCAUUCAGGAAUGCAGUUUUGACAUCCAUUUGCCAAAUUUCAUAAUCAUAAAAUGCGGCAAUUGCUAACAUGAUUCGGACAGACUUAAGCAUAGCUACGGGUGAGAAGGUCUCAUCGUAGUCAAUCCCUUGAACUUGUCGAAAACCUUUUGCAACAAGUCGAGCUUUGUAGACAGUAACAUUACCGUCAGCGUCAGUAUUCUUAUUGAAGAUCCAUUCAUUCUCAAUUGCUUGCCGAUCAAUGGGCAAGUCAACCAAAGUCCACACUUUGUUCUCAUACAUGGAUCCCAUCUCAGAUUUCAUGGCUUCUAGCCAUUUUGCGGAAUCUGGGCUCACCAUCGCUUCUUCAUAGUUCGUAGGUUCAUCAUGAUCUAGUAGCAUGACUUCCAGAACAGGAUUACCGUACCACUCUGGUGCGGAUCUUACUCUGGUUGAUCUACGAGGUUCGGUAGUAACUUGAUCUGAAGUUUUAUGAUCAUUAUCAUUAGCUUCAUCACUAAUUGGUGUAGGUGUCACAGAAACCGGUUUCUGUGAUGUACUACUUUCCAAUAAGGGAGCAGGUAUAGUUACCUCAUCAAAUUCUACUUUUCUCCCACUCACUUCUUUCGAGAGAAACUCCUUCUCUAGAAAAACUCCGAAUUUAGCAAUAAAAGAUUUGCCUUCGGAUCUGUGAUAGAAGGUGUACCCAACAGUCUCCUUUGGGUAUCCUAUGAAGACACAUUUCUCCGAUUUGGGUUCGAGCUUAUCAGGUUGAAGCUUUUUCACAUAAGCAUCGCAGCCCCAAACUUUCAGAAACAACAACUUUGGUUUCUUGCCAAACCACAGUUCAUAAGGCGUCGUCUCAACGGAUUUCGAUGGUGUCCUAUUUAACGUGAAUGCGGCCGUCUCUAAAGCAUAAACCCAAAAUGACAACGGUAAAUCAGUAAGAGACAUCAUAGAUCACACCAUAUCUAAUAAAGUACGAUUACGACGUUCGGACAUACCAUUACGCUGUGGUGUUCCGGGUGGCGUGAGUUGCGAAACUAUUCCGCAUUGUUUCAAAUGUAGACCAAACUUGUAACUCAAAUAUUCUCCUCCACGAUCAGAUCGUAGAAACUUUAUUUUCUUGUUACGAUGAUUUUCAACUUCACUCUGAAAUUCUUUGAACUUUUCAAAUGUUUCAGACUUAUGUUUCAUUAAGUAGAUAUACCCAUUUCUGCUUAAAUCAUCUGUGAAGGUGAGAAAAUAACAAUAUCCGCCAUGAGCCUCAACAUUCAUUGGACCACAUACAUCUGUAUGUAUGAUUUCCAACAAAUCCGUUGCUCUCUCCAUAGUACCGGAGAACGGCGCUUUAGUCAUCUUACCCAUGAGGCACGGUUCACAAGUACCAAGUGAUUCAUAAUCAAGUAGUUCCAAAAGUCCAUCAAUAUGGAGUUUCUUCAUGCGCUUUACACGGAUAUGACCUAAAUGGCAGUGCCACAAAUAAGUUGCACUAUCAUUAUCAACUCUGCAUCUUUUGAUUUCAACAUUAUGAAUAUGUGUAUCACUACUAUCGAGAUUCAUCAAAAAUAGACCACUCUUCAAGGGUGCAUGACCAUAAAAGAUAUUACUCAUAUAAAUAGAACAACCAUUAUUCUCUGAUUUAAAUGAACAACCGUCUCGCAUCAAACAAGAUCCAGAUAUAAUGUUCAUGCUCAACGCUGGCACCAAAUAACAAUUAUUUAGGUCUAAUAUUAAUCCCGAAGGUAGAUGUAGAGGUAGCGUGCCGACCGUGAUCACAUCGACUUUGAAACCAUUUCCCACACGCAUCGUCACCUCGUCCUUAGCCAAUCUUCACUUAAUCCGUAGCCCCUGUUUCGAGUUGGAAAUGUUAGCAACAGAACCAGUAUCAAAUACCCAGGUGCUACUGCGAGCAUUAGUAAGAUACACAUCAAUAACAUGUAUAUCACAUAUACCUUUGUUUACUUUGCCACCCUUCUUAUCCGCCAAAUACUUGGGGCAGUUCCGCUUCCAGUGACCAUUCUGCUUGCAGUAGAAGCACUCAGUCUCAAGCUUAGGUCCAGACUUGGGUUUCUUCUCCUGAGCAGCAACUUGUUUGCUGUUCUUCUUGAAGUUCCCUUUCUUCUUCCCUUUGCCCUUUUUCUUGAAACUGGUGGUCUUAUUGACCAUCAACACUUGAUGCUCCUUCUUGAUUUCUACCUCCGCGGCUUUUAGCAUCGCGAAGAGCUCAGGAAUAGUUUUAUUCAUCCCUUGCAUAUUAUAGUUCAUCACGAAGCUUUUGUAGCUUGGUGGCAGUGAUUGAAGAACUCUGUCAAUGACACUAUCAACAGGAAGACUAACCCCCAGUUGAGUCAAGUGAUUAUGAUACCCAGACAUUUUGAGUAUAUGUUCACUGACAGAACUAUUCUCCUCCAUCUUGCAGCUAUAGAACUUAUUGGAGACUUCAUAUCUCUCAAUCCGGGCAUUUGCUUGAAAUAUUAACUUCAACUCCUGAAACAUCUCAUAUUCUCCAUGACGUUCAAAACGUUGUUGAAGACCCGGUUCUAAGCCGUAAAGCAUGGCACACUGAACUAUCGAGUAGUCAUCAGCUUUGCUCUGCCAGACGUUCAUAACAUCUGGUGUCGCUCUUGCAGCAGGUUGGCACUUAGCGGUGCUUCCAGGACGUAAUUCUUCUGUGCAGCAAUGAGGAUAAUCCUCAAGUUACAGACCCAGUCCAUGUAAUUGCUACCAUCAUCUUUCAACUUUUCUUUCUCAAGGAACGCAUUAAAAUUCAAUGGAACAAUAGCACGAGCCAUCUAUCUACAAUCAAACAUAGACAAGCAAGAUACUAUCAGGUACUAAGUUCAUGAUAAAUUUAAGUUCAAUUAAUCAUAUUACUUAAGAACUCCCACUUAGAAAGAUAUCCCUCUAAUCCUCUAAGUGAUCACGUGAUCCAAAUCAACUAAACCAUGUCCGAUCAUCACGUGAUAUGGAGUAGUAUCAAUGGUGAACAUCAAUAUGUUGAUCAUAUCUACUAUAUGAUUCACGCUCGACCUUUCAGUCUCCGUGUUCCGAGGCCAUAUCUGUUAUAUGCUAGGCUCGUCAAGUUAAACCUAAGUAUUCCACGUGUGCAACUGUUUUGCACCCGUUGUAUUUGAACGUAGAGCCUAUCACACCCGAUCAUCACGUAGUGUCUCAGCACAAAGAACUUUCGCAACGGUGCAUACUCAGGGAGAACACUUAUACUUUGAUAAUUUAGUGGGGGGUCAUCUUAUAAUGCUACCGUCAAUCAAAGCAAGAUAAGAUGCAUAAAAGAUAAACAUCACAUGCAAUCAAUAUAAGUGAUAUGAUAUGGCCAUCAUCAUCUUGUGCUUGUGAUCUCCAUCUCCGAAGCACCUUCAUGAUCACCAUCGUCACCGGCGCGACAACUUGAUCACCAUCGUAGCAUCGUUAUCGUCUCGCCAAUCUUAUGCUUCCACGACUAUCGCUACCGCUUAGCGAUAAAGUAAAGCAUUACAGCGCAAUUGCACUGCAUACAAUAAAGCGACAACCAUAUGGCUCCUGCCAGUUGCCGAUAACUCGGUUACAAAACAUGAUCAUCUCAUACAAUAAAAUUUAGCAUCAUGUCUUGACCAUAUCACAUCACAACAUGCCCUGCAAAAACAAGUUAGACGUCCUCUACUUUGUUGUUGCAAGUUUUACAUGGCUGCUACGGGCUUAGCAAGAACCAUUCUUACCUGCGCAUCAAAACCACAACGAUAGUUUGUCAAGUUGGUGCUGUUUUUACCUUCGCAAGGACCGGGUGUAGCCACACUUGGUUCAACUAAAGUUGGAGAAACUGACACCCGCCAGCCACCUGUGUGCAAAGCACGUCGAUAGAACCAGUCUCGCGUAAGCGUACACGUAAUGUCGGUCCGGGCCGCUUCAUCCAACAAUACCGCCGAACCAAAGUAUGACAUGCUGGUAAGCAGUAUGACUUAUAUCGCCCACAACUUACUUGUGUUCUACUCGUGCACAACAUCAACGCAUAAAACCUAGGCUCGGAUGCCACUGCUGGGGAACGUAGUAAUUUCAAAAAAAAAAAUCCUACGCACACGCAAGAUCAUGGUGAUGCAUAGCAACGAGAGGGGAGAGUGUUGUCUACGUACCCUCGUAGACUGGCAACGGAAGUGUUGACACAACGUAGAGGAAGUAGUCAUACGUCUUCCCGAUCUGACCGAUCCAAGUACCGAACGUACGGCACCUCCGAGUUCUGCACACGUUCAACUCGGUGACGUCCCUCGAGUUCUGAUCCAGCAAAACGUUGAGGGAGAGUUUCGUCAGCACGACGGCGUGAUGACGGUGAUGAUGUUCUACCGACGCAGGGCUUCGUAUAAGCACCGCUACGAUAUGACCGAGGUGGAAUAUGGUGGAAGGGGGCACCGCACACGGCUAAGGAACGAUCACGAGGAUCAACUUGUGUGUCAUGGGGUGCCUCCUUGCCUCGGUAUAUAAAGGAGGGAGAGGGGGAGGUGCGGCCGGCCCUAUGGGUGCGCCUGGAGGAGUCCUACUCCAACCGGGAGUAGGACUCCCCCCUCUUGUCUUGUUGGAAAAGGAAGGAGGAAGGGAGAAAGAGGAAAGGGCCCCCCCUUUCCUUGUCCUAUUUGGACUAGGGGGGAGGGGGCGCGCGGCCUGCCCUGGCCGGCCCUCCUCUUCUCCCUUAUGGCCCAUGUAGGCCCAAUAACCCCCGGGGGGUUCCGGUAACCCCCCGGUACUCCGGUAAAAUCCCGAUUUCACCCGGAACGUUUUCGAUAUCCAAAUAUAGGCUUCCAAUAUAUCAAUCUUUAUGUCUCGACCAUUUCGAGACUCCUUGUCAUGUCCGUGAUCACAUACGGGACUCCGAACAACCUUCUGUACAUCAAAACACAAAAACCCUAAUUACGAUCGUCACCGAACUUUAAGCGUGCGGACCCUACGGGUUCGAGAACUAUGUAGACAUGACCGGGACACGUCUCCGGUCAAUAACCAAUAGCGGAACCUGGAUGCUCAUAUUGGCUGCUACAUAUUCUACGAAGAUCUUUAUCGGUCAGACCGCAUAACAACAUAUGUUGUUCCCUUUGUCAUCGGUAUGUUACUUGCCCAAGAUUCGAUCGUCGGUAUCUCAAUACCUAGUUCAAUCGCAUUACCGGCAAGUCUCUUUACUCGUUCCGUAAUACAUCAUCCUGCAACUAACUUAUUAGUGGCAAUGCUUGCAAGGCUUGAGUGAUGUGCAUUACUGAGAGGGCCCAGAGAUACCUCUCCGACAAUCUAAACGAUCAAGUGCUAAGCUAACGGAACGGGUCAAGUCAAUCACAUCAUUCUCCUAAUGAUGUGAUCCCGUUAAUCAAAUGACAACUCAUGUCUAUGGUUAGGAAACAUAACCAUCUUUGAUUAACGAGCUAGUCAAGUAGAGGCAUACUAGUGACUCUCUGUUUUUGCCUAUGUAUUCACACAUGUAUUAUGUUUCCGGUUAAUACAAUUCUAGCAUGAAUAAUAAACAUUUAUCAUGAUAUAAGGAAAUAAAUAAUAACUUUAUUAUUGCCUCUAGCGCAUAUUUCCUUCAAAAACAAGGACAAGGGGCCACAUAGCGAUGACGAGGAGGAGCCCCGGCAGCCACACAUCGGAGGACAGAAGAGGUUUCCCCCACAAGUGCGGACGGUGAACAUGAUAUACGCAACCCACAUCCCCAAGAGGGAGCGGAAGCGUGUGCUCAGGGACGUAUAUGCGUUGGAGCCAGUCGCCCCAAAAUUCAACUCGUGGUCCUCCUAUCUGAUCCCUUUCGAUCGCAGGGACAACCCACUAGUAUCCGUCAUGGCGGAUUCGCCACACUAGUUCUGGACCCAAUCAUUGACGGAUUUCACCUCACUCGAGUCCUUAUGGAUGGUGGUAGCAGCCUGAACCUGCUUUAUCAGGACACAGUGCGCAAAAUGGGUAUAGACCCCUCAAGGAUCAAACCCACAAAAAGACCUUUAAGGGCGUCAUUCCAGGCGUAGAGGCCCAUUGUACAGGCCCAAUCACACUGGAAGUGGUCUUCGGAUCCCCGGAUAACUUCCGAAGCGAAGAGUUAAUCUUCGAUAUAGUCACGUUCCAUAGUGGUUAUCAUGCACUGCUCGGGCGAACCGCAUUUGCGAGGUUCAAUGCGGUACCACAUUAUGCAUACCUCAAACUCAAAAUGCCAGGACCUCGCGGGGUUAUUACAGUCAAUGGAAACACAGAGCGCUCUCUCGGAACAGAGGAGCACACUGCGGCCCUCGCAGCAGAAGCGCAAAACAGCCUCUCAAGGCAAUCCACCAGUUCGGCGUUUCAAGACCCGAACACCUUCAAGCGCGCUCGGAGCAAUCGGCAAAUAGACCGCCUGACGCGAUCUGAGCUCGCGUAGCAAUGCGGCCCCCACCCCAGUCCCAGCCAAACGGCGAAACUCGUGCCACGCGUACAUAAUUACGCAUUAAAAAUACCAUGGGCACAUGUGGGGAGGGGGCACAACUGUGGCACGCCCCGAGACGCAGCUUAAACCGCACUAGGGGCUUCCCGUUUGGUUAUUUUUCUCUUUUUCAGGACCUUAAUCUCUGGAAACCCUAUCCGGCAGCACUAUUGCCGAACACAUGAUGUAGCAACCAAGGAGGCGGAAAGCUACGUCACACCACGGAAUUCCCAGGUGGAUUACAAUAACGAGCGAAAUAUUUGAUUUAAUACUAUUCCUCAGCUUGCCCUUGGAAGGGACAUAGUCCCACUCUUUGCUUAUCGCACUAUCUGUAUCAUUCUGCUUUAACGCACCUUUUUGAAUAAACAAUGCAUAACAUCACGACUAUUAUUGCAUUCUUGUUAUAUAUAUAUGUGUGUGCGUUCAUUAACGACGCCUGGCAACCGUACACUUUGGUACGGUCAAUACACCAGGGGCUUACGUACCCCACAAUAUGGUGUGAAAAGUCCGAACACUUUCACAAGUGCGGCACCCUGAACUUAUAGCAUUAUAUGCAUCAGCUCCGAAUCAUGUCUUUGGUCAAAUGUUGGGUUUGCCCGGCUCCUAUGUUUUGGUACCUUAUGUUCCGCUCUAUCGGCCAAGGUAGCGCUAGGAGAACUACUGCGAUUGUGCCCCGGUUCUACCGGGAUGAGCACCUCAGUAGAGAAAGCUAAAACUGACUGUCAUGAUAAGGCGAGAGACUGGUCGCUGUUCGGCGAGGUUUUCGAGUCCCUAAAGACUUAUGCCGCUUAGGGCGAGGGGUCGGCCCUGUCCGGCUUAAAGGCGUGUAUCGCGCCCCGAAUUCGGCCUUCCGAAUACCAGGGGCUUCACUGAAAUUUAAAAUUAUAGAAUUAUAUGGCUAAGUGAGAGUGAUAAAGCAUUAUUAGUCUGGUUGCCUUGUUCGUUGUGCUGAGCACCUCCCUCGAAGGACCCAAACAUGGGAACAAGAGUGCUCAGGUUUAUCCCGAACACCCCAGCACUCGUGGCAUGGGGGCAGAAGCCGAGGACUAGCCAUCUCUCAGAUUGGAUAAACGGACAAACAUAAGGUAAUAUUUUAAAUUCACACAAGCGUUGCAUAGCGCAUAUGAAACAAGUUUUCAUCAUACAGGAUCACACGAGAAAGUUUACUCAAAUAUUACAUCCUUGGAACAUUCAUCCGCUACAAGACGGGCACCCUUCAGGACACCCUCAUAAUAAAUUUCGGGGGUGCGAUGCUCUUUGCCCUGCGGCGGCCCUUCCUUGAUCAGCUUCACAGCAUCUAGCUUGGUCCACUGCACCUUCACAUGGGCGAAAGCCCGGCUUGCACCUUCGAUGCAGACGGACCGCUUGACGACCUCUAGCCAUGGGCAGGCAUCCACAAGCCGCCUCACCAGGCCAAAGUAGUUGUUCGGAAGGGCGUCGCAGGACACAGCCAGACUAUAAGGCCCUUCAUGGCCUGUUCGGCCACCUUGUGCAGCUCGACCAGCUGCUUUAGCUGGUCGCUCAGAGGCAUCGGGUGUUCGGUCCUAGUAUACUGAGACCAGAACAGCUUCUCCGUUGAGCUUGCCUCCUCGGCCUGGUAAAACUGUGCGGCAUACGACACGCUGCGGGGCAAAUCUGUGAAUGCUCCUGGAGAGCUCCGAAUUCGGGUAAGUAAUCGGUAAUUUACUUUUACAUGCUUGCUCUGCAUAUAGAAUGCCUUACCCGCCGCUAUCUUCUUCAUUGCGUCGAUCUCCUGGAGGGCCUUUUGGGCUUCGGCCUUGGCACUUUUCGCGCUCUCGAGGGCCGUGGCUAGCUCAGACUCUCGCGUCUUCGAGUCAAGCUCAAAUGCCUCGUGCUUCGUCAUGAGAGCCUGGAGCUCUUGCUGCAGCUCGCCCACCCGAGCCUCUUGUUUUUCCCACUCGGUGCGCUCCUUGGCCGCUUUAUCUUCGGCCUUGGUCAGCGCUUGCUUCACGGUCGCCACCUCGGUCGUGGCCCCUGGCAAAUAUACGAUGAUCCUAUCAUUUUGCAAUCGCGUCUUAUUUUAUAUAUACAUAUCUGCAGACAUGGUAUUACUUACCCUUGUUCUCCUCGAGCUGCCUCUUGGCAAGGCUGAGCUCUUUCUUGGACCCCUCGAGGUCCUGCUUCAGUACGGCGACCUCCGAAGUAAGUGUGGUGGACGCCAGCAGCGAGGCCUGCAUACGCAUAUUGACAUACUUAUAUUAGACUCCUGCGAUAUUAUUUGAUCCUCUGUUCGGCUUUUCUUUGUGAACACCGAACAAAGCAUCAGGGGCUACUGUCUAUGCGGUAAUAUUUUUCCUAUAUUUUAAAAACACUUACCUCAAAGCCUGUUAGAAGGCUGGCACAGGCUUCAGUCAAUCUGCUCUUAGCGGACUGAACCUUCUGGACCACCGCACUCAUAAUAGUACGGUGCUCCUCGUCGAUAGAAGCGCUGCGAAGCGCUUCCAGCAGAUUGUCCGGCGCCUCUAGAUGGACAGAGGUCACCGGCAUAGGCGUCUUCCCCUCGUGGAAGGAGGCCGCCUGCCCGAGCCCGGAACCACUGGAGGUUCCGGCGCGGUGUUCGGCUGAGGGCCGAAUUCGGAGCUCUCAGGGGCCCCGUCCCCUUGGCUCCCGAAGUCCGGAAGGUCGCCUUGAGGCACCUCCGGGACUGUCUCCCCUCGACCCAAUCCUCUUGAGACAGCACCUCGGCAUCGUCAGCAGGAUGAGGGGAGGUGGCGGUCGGAACUGGAUCGCUAUCCAUGUCCGACGAGCCCAGGGAGCCGUCCGAUGAUACAUCGAUACUGGCUCGUGGCGGCCUACAUAAUUAUGUUCGGCGUUAGGGAAAGUAGUGCGACAAAGGAAUGCUAUGAGUUACUUUGGUAUCCGAAUACUUACGAUCUCCCCAGGAGCUUGGCCCCGGGCAACCACUCGUCCUCGCCUUCGUCGGCGGCGGUGGAACUGUCCGGAAGGAGAGUCCUUCCCUUCUUGGACCCUUCGCCCCCCCCCCCCCAGUCGGGGCGGCCUUCCUUUUUUUGUCUCCCCCGCCUGGAGGGGGAGCAUCUUCUUCUUCCUCCUCGUCUUUGGGGGAGGAGUGUGCCGCAGAGUUAUCGGACGAUGAGUCCGGUAACACCUGGCGCCGGGAACUCUUUUGGGUUCCCUUGGCCUUCUUGGUCUUCUCCGACACCUUGUAAGGAGCCGGAGUCAGCAUCUCCGUCAGGAGAGCGCCCGCAGUGUCUUCGGGCAAAGGGGCCGGACAGUUAAUAUGCCCCGACGUCUCCACCCAGUCCUGUCAAAGGCAUGGAGAUUAGACCCCGCACAUGAUUAAGCUAGGGGAAAUAAAAGUCCUACGGGACGUAUUGAACUCACUGAACGCGCUAGCCGCUUUGCGCUUAGUCCGCGGUCCUCAGUGAGAGAAGGAGGGACCUCGGCGCCCUUGAACAACACCUCCCAGACGUCCUUAUGCGUCGUAUCAAAGAGCUCGCUCAGAGUCUGGUGCCGGGCCGGGUCGAACUCCCACAAGUUAAAAUCCCGUUGUUGACACGGGAGGAUCCGGCGGAUGAGCAUAACCUGGACUAUGUUGACAAGCUUGAGCUUCUUGCUUGCCAUACUCCGGAUACAUUUCUGGAGUCCAUCCAGCUCCACCGAUGAACCCCACGACAAGCCCUUCUCUUUCCAGGAAGUGAGCCGUGUAGGGAAUCCGGAUCGAAACUCGGGGGCUGCCGCCCAUUUGGCGUCGCGCGGCUCGGUGAUGUAGAACCACGCCGAUUGCCAUCCCUUUAUUGUCUCCACGAAGGAGCCUUCAAGCCAUAUAACGUUGGGCAUCUUGCCCACCAUGGAUCCGCCGCAUUCUGCUUGUUGUCCUCGUACCACCUUCGGCUUGAUAUUGAAGGUCUUUAACCACAGGCCGAAGUGGGGCCGAAUGCGGAGGAAAGCCUCACACACGAUGAUGAAUGCCGAAAUGUUGAGGACGAAGUUCGGGGCCAGAUCAUGAAAGUCCAGCCGGUAGUAGAACAUGGGACCACAGACGAAUGGAUGGAGGGGAAACCCCAGUCCACGGAGGAAGUAGUGGAGGAAAACUACCCUCUCGUGGGGUUCCGGGGUCGGGACGAUCUGCCCCGCAGCGGGCAGCUGAUGCGCGAUAUUCGCGGCUAAGUAUCCGGCUCCGCGCAGCUUCUUGAUGUCUCCCUCCGUGACGGAGGAGACCAUCCACCUGCCUCCCGCUCCGGACAUGGUUGGAGAAGGUUGAGGUGGGAAGUGCAGACUUGGGCGCUAGAGCUCGAGUGUGCGAAAAUGGAUGAGCAAAGAAGGAAGAAGGCGUGGAUGAAAAGGUGAAUCCUUAUCCCUUUAUAUGGGCGGACGAAACUGUGCGCCCCCCACUAGCCUGGUAAAACUCGCUUAUCCCCCAAGCGUCGUAAUCGAUGGCGCGGUUGGGUUACCCACGCCCGUAUUGAUGAGAAUCCCGUAAUAAUGGGACACGAUCUCUGCUUUGACAAGACGUGUCAAAAAACUGCCUCGCGUUAUGUGCGGGGCUAGUUAAAGGACACGGUUUGAAUAAUCACCGGGCCAUGACAUAACGUCAUGCUACCAAAACAAGUCAGCAAAUUAGAUUUGCGAAAAUAUUAUUCUCUCUACGGUGGUAUGUGGAACUUAUUUUGCAGGGUCGGACACUAUCCUUGUAUUCAAAUUCUUCCGUGGUGUAUUCGGAGGAGGAACCCGCCUUGCAAUGCCGAAGACAAUAUUGCGCGCCGGACUCAUCGUCAUUGAAGCCUGGUUCAGGGGCUACUGAGGGAGUCCUGGAUUAGGGGGUCUCCGGACAGCGAGACUAUAUCCUUUGGCCAGACUGUUGGACAAUGAAGAUACAAGAUUGAAGACUUCGUCUCGUGUCCGGAUGGGACUCUACUUGGCGUGGAAGGCAAGCUAGGCAAUACGGAUAUGGAUAUCUCCUCCUUUGUAACCGACCUUGUGUAACCCUAACCCUCUCCGGUGUAUAUAUAAACUGGAGGGUUUUAGUCCGUAGGACAACAACUACAACAUACAAUCAUACCAUGGGCUAGCUUCUAGGGUUUAGCCUCUCCGAUCUCGUGGUAGAUCUACUCUUGUACUACCCAUAUCAUCAAUAUUAAUCAAGCAGGACGUAGGUUUUUACCUCCAUCAAGAGGGCCCGAACCUGGGUAAAACAUCGUGUCCCCUGCCUCCUGUUACCAUCCGGCCUAGAUGCACAGUUCGGGACCCCCUACCCGAGAUCCGCCGGUUUUGACACCGACACCGCAUAACAACAUACGUUGUUCCCUUUGUCAUCGGUAUGUUACUUGCCCGAGAUUCGAUUGUUGGUAUCCUCAUACCUAGUUCAAUCUCAUUAUUGACAAGUCUCUUUACUCGUUCUGUAAUGCAUCAUCCCGUAACUAACUCUUUAGUCACAUUACUUGCCAGGCUUAUAGUGAUGUGCAUUUCCGAGAGGGCCCAGAGAUACCUCUCUGACAAUCGGAGUGAAAACUUCUAAUCUUGAUCUAUGCCAACUCAACAAACACCAUCGGAGACACUUGUAGAGCAUCUUUAUAAUCACCUAGUUACGUUGUGACGUUUGAUAGCACACUAAGUGUUCCUCCGGUAUUUGGGAGUUGCAUAAUCUCAUAGUCAUAGGAACAUGUAUAAGUUAUGAACAAAGCAAUAGCAAUAAACUAAAUGAUCAUAGUGCUAAGCUAACGGAUGGGUCAAGUCAAUCACAUCAUUCUCUAAUGAUGUGAUCCCGUUCAUCAAAUGACAACUCAUGUCUAUGGUUAGGAAACUUAACCAUCUUUGAUUAACGAGCUAGUCAAGUAGAGGCAUACUAGUGACACUCUGUUUGUCUAUGUAUUCACACAUGUACUAAGUUUCCGGUUAAUACAAUUAUAGCAUGAAUAAUAAACAUUUAUCAUGAUAUAAGGAAAUAUAAACAACAACUUUAUUAUUGCCUCUAGGGCAUAUUUCCUUCAGUCUCCCACUUGCACUAGAGUCAAUAAUCUAGUUCACAUCGUCAUGUGAUUUAACACCAAUAGUUCACAUCUUUAUGUGAUUAGUUCACAUCACCAUAUGACUAAUACCCAAAGGGUUUACUAGAGUCAAUAAUCUAGUUCACAUUGCUAUGUGAUUAACACCCAAAGAGUGAUCAUGUUUUGCUUGUGAGAGAAAUUUAGUCAACGGUUCUGCCACAUUCAGAGUCGUAUGUAUUUUGCAAUAAAAAUUAUGUCUACAAUGCUCUGCACGGAACUACUCUAGCUAAGUGCUCCCACUUUCAAUAUGUAUCCAGAUUGAGACUCAGAGUCAUCCAGAUCGGUGUCAAAACUUGCAUUGACGUAACUCUUUACGACGAACUUUUUGUCACCUUCAUAACCGAGAAACAUAUCCUUAUUCCACUAAGGAUAAUUUUGACCGAUGUCCAGUGAUCCACUCCUGGAUCACUAUUGUACCCUCUUGCCGAACUCUUGGUGAGGUACACAAUAGGUCUGGUACACAACAUAGCAUACUUUAUAGAACCUAUGGCUGAGGCAUAGGGAAUGACUUUUCAUUCUCUCUCUAUUUUCCGCCAUGGUCGGGUUUUUGAGUUUUUACUCAACUUCACACCUUGCAACACAUGCAAGAACUCCUUGUUUGUCUGUUCCAUUUUGAACUACUUCAAAAUCUUGUCAAGGUAUGUACUCAUUGAAAAAUAUAUCAAGCAUCUUGAUUUAUCUCCAUAGAUCUUGAUGCUCAAUAUGCAAGUAGGUUCACCGAGGUCUUUCUUUGAAAAACUCCUUUCAAACACUCCUUUAUGCUUUCCAAAAAAUUCUAGAUCAUUUCCGAUCAACAAUAUGUCAUUCACAUAUACUUAUCAGAAAGGCUGUAGUGCUCCCACUCACUUUCUUGUAAAUACGGACUUCACCACAAGUCUGUAUAAAAAUAUAUGCUUUGAUCACUUUAUCAAAGCAUAUAUUCCAACUCCGAGAUGCUUGCACCAGUCCAUAGAUGGAUCGCUGGAGCUUGCACACUUUGUUAGCACCUUUAGGAUUGAAAAAACCUUCUUGUUGCAUCAUAUACAACUCUUUUUUUAGAAGUCCAUUAAGGAAUGCAGUUUUGACAUCCAUUUGCCAGAUUUCAUAAAAUGUGGCAAUUUCUAACAUGAUUCGAACAGACUUAAGCAUCGCUACGAGUGAGAAAAUCUCAUCGUAGUCAACAUCUUGAACUUGUCAAAAACCUUUUGCGACAAUUCGCUCUUUGUAUAUAGUGAUACCACUAUCAGUGUCUGUCUUCCUCUGGAAGAUCCAUUUAUUCUCAAUGGCUUGCCGAUCAUUGAGCAAGUCAACCAAAGUCCACACUUUGUUCUCAUACAUGGAUCCCAUCUUAGAUUUCAUGGCCUCAAGCCAUUUUGCAGAAUCUAGGCUCAUCAUCGCUUCCUCAUAGUACGUAGGUUCGUCGUGGUCUAGUAACAUGACUUCCAAAAAGGAUUACCGUACCACUCUAGUGUGGACCAUACUCUGGUUGACCUACGAGGUUCGAUAGUAACUUGAUUUGAAGUUUCAUGAUCAUCAUCAUUAGCUUCCUCACUAAUUGGCGUAGUAAUCACUAGAACUAAUUUCUAUGAUGAACCACUUUCCAAUUUGGGAGAAGGUACAAUUACCUCAUCAAGUUCUACAUUCCUCCCAUUCACUUCUUUCGAGAGAAACUUCUUCUCUAGAAAGGAUCCAUUCUUAGCAACGAAUAUCUUGCCUUCGGAUCUGUGAUAGAAGGUGUACCCAACAGUUUCCUUUGGGUAUCCUAUGAAGACGCAUUUCUCCGAUUUGUUCGAGCUUAUCAAGUUGAAACUUUUUCACAUAAGCAUCAUAGCCCCUAACUUUAAUAAACGACAACUUAGGUUUCUUGCUAAACCACAGUUCAUAUGGUGUCGUCUCAAUGGAUUUAGAUGGUGCUGGCAGACGGCAAAGAGCCUGGACGGCACACGUGGCAGCUUAUGUCUGUUAGGGGGUUAACGUCAUGCUUUGCUGUCUGCCAGCAGACGGCAAAGCUGCCAAAUAGGCCAGCCAGUGCACCCCAGGUUGCACAGGUAGCUGCCACAUGGCAGCUUUGCCGUGUGUUGGCUGAUGGCAAAGCUCUUUGCCGUCUGCCAGCAGAUGGCAAAGAGCCUGUACAGCCCCUAUUUUUUCUUAGAUUCAUUCAAUUUCACAGAAUUUCACAGAUAUAUAUAACAAGUUUCCAACACAUAUAACGAGUUUCCAACAACAAGUUAUCCAACAUAAAAUGGUUUCAUCCAUACAUACAUAUCCAACAACAAGUUUGCAACAAGUAUCCAAAAACAUAAAAUAAGCACAAGGAGAAGAGUAGACUCCAUGAACGUAGGCUCCUCAUAUAAAGCAAAUCUGCAAAUUGAGAAAGAAGAAAGUUAGAAGAAGAAGGAGAAGAAGAAGAAGAAGAAGACUAGCUAGAAGAAAAAAAGAAGAAUUUAUCUUUUCUUUCUUUUUCUCCUCUCCUCUUCUUUAUCUUCUUCUUCUAACUAAGGUAGGUAAAAAUGCCAUUUUUUAGCUAAGCUAGGUAAAAAUGCUAAGUGUGUAGGUCAUUUUAGAGCUAAGCUAGGUAAAUAGGUCAUUUUGGAGCUAACCUAGGUAAAAUGGAUCAUAUUGGAGCUAACCUAGGUAAACUAGAUCAUUUUGAAGCUAACCUAGGUAAAAUGGAUCAUAUUAGAGCUAAUUUAGCAUUUUAGAGCUAACUUAGAGCUAACUUAGGUCAUUUUUGAGCUAAGUUAGGUAAAAUUGAUCAUUUUGGAGCUAAUUAGACUUAGUAUGUCAUUUUUGAGGAAAAUAAGCUAACUAUAUGACAUAUAUCAGGUUACCAAGACUGUUAUGCCAUUUCAAACCUAAGUAAGCUAAUUAUGCCAUUUUUUACAUAAGUAAGCUAAGUGCAUGUCAUUAUUGAGCAAACCUAGGUAACUAAGCAUAUUAGAGAUAAUUUAGCAUAUUAGAGCUAACUUAGGUCAUUUCGAAGGAAACAAAGCUAAGUAUAGAUCAUUUUGGAGCUAAGUAAGCUAAUUAUGUCAUUUUGGAGGAAGAUAAGCUAAGUCUAGGUCAUUAUGGUAAGCAUUUUGGAGGAAAUAAAGCUAAGUCUAGGUCUUUAUGCAUUUCGUAAGCAAAACACUACAGAAAACUUACCGUCAUCACGGAGGUGAAGGAUCUUCACUCCUCCUUCUCCUUCUCCUUCAUCAUCCUGAUGCGCUUAGAGCGGCGAGGCAGUGGGAUGUACUCUUCUACCAUAAUUGGCAUGGUCUUGUCUCCCAGCCAUGGGAUCGCCGGCGCCACCACCAUCGCGAGGUCAUCUUCAGGCACCACCAUCGCUAGGUCAUCUUCAGGCACCACCACCAUCGUGAGGCCAUCUUCAGGCACCACCAUCGCUUGCCCAUCAUCAGCCACCACCAUCGCUAGGUCAUCGUCAGCCACCACCAUCGCUUGCCCAUCGUCAACGACCACCAUCGCUUGGCCAUUGUCAGCCACCACCAUCGUGAGGUAAUCGUUAGACAGAAUAGGUUGCACCUCCACAUCUCCACUCUGCUCCUCUUCUUCCACACUCCGUUCCUCCUCAUCGUCGAUGCUGCUUUUGUUGUAGGUAGAGUUGCUGCUGCUUUUGCCGUAGUUAGAGUCGCUGCUGCUGCUCCCAUUGCCUGACCAAAUGCAACAAAGUUUUUUUUAACAAUCGGUCUGAGACAAAGCCAAAUGGAGAGGAAGAAGAGACAGAGCGUACUGGCAUCAUCGUCGUCCUGGUAGCGCAUGCGGCACAUAGUCGUGUUGAACACCUUCACGGUGAGCAUGACGUUGUUGUUGUACCUGAGGACAAGGAAGUAUCUGUGCCGUAGGUCGUAGGCACAGACGAACUGCUCCUAGCCACGACACAGGUACAUGUGGCGGUCGGUGUCGAACACCACCUCCAUGUCCCACAGCCUGCGAAGCCCGCUGUCGGCCUGUCGCAGCUUUACAUUCUGUGGCCGACGGCUGUCCAGCAUCUUCAUAAAAGUGUUAGGCAGCCUCUGCAGCGUGGGUCAAGCAGUGAUGUAGCAAACAACAGAGUUAUGAUAAGGAGAUGGGUGAAGGGGAGAUCUCUCAUUUUAUAUACCUGCCUGCUGGAGGAAUUCUCAAGUAUGAUCGUGAAGAACUCGAAACCUUCCAAGUCGGACUCCGGCAUGGCAGAGCGCAGCCGGUGGUGGCGGCCUCCCCCAUCUCUGAUAAGCAGCAGAAGAGACCAAUUACUACCCUUACAACAUUAUCAUACAACAUUACAGCAUCAGAAGUUUUGAGCAGAAGAGAAUCAACUACACCAAGUUAUCAUUUCACAUUCAAAAAGCAAUGCACUUGUGGACAUUUAUGAUGGCAAGAACUAUAAUUCAAAAAGCAAAGCAAGAUAAACAAGCACUUAGUUAGAUGUCUUUGCCAGAGCCUCAAUUUGAAAUACUACUAUAAAUGGCAAUGGCCUCAAUUUGCUACUACUCUAUCUUGGCAAUGAGUAGGAGAAGAACAUCAACAUCAAGAACACCCUUAGAAUAACAUCAACAUCAAAUACUUUAGUGUUUUUAGAGUUUUAGGAGAAUACCAUCAACAAGCUCUUAGUAUCACUUUUUUAUCCAGAAAACACACCAUCUAUAGUGCUGUCUUACAAAGAAAACAUCAUAAAAAAACCCCAUCAAAAGUAUUCUCUCCGGUUCACAAAAUUGCUUUCAACCAUGCAUUGCAGUUUUCUGAAACCGAAGUAUUCACUGCCCACACAUUGGAAUACUUAGGGUAUUAAUUAAACUAAAUAACUUAAACUAACUAAAUUAAAAAACCUAAACUAAAAAAGUAAUUAAACCUAAAUUAAUUAAACUAAAUAACCUAAACUAAACAGAAAAAAUAGAAAAAACAGGAGAGGGGUGACCGUGGGGGCGGCAGGGGCUCACCGUGNNNNNNNNNNNNNNNNNNNNNNNNNNNNNNNNNNNNNNNNNNNNNNNNNNNNNNNNNNNNNNNNNNNNNNNNNNNNNNNNNNNNNNNNNNNNNNNNNNNNNNNNNNNNNNNNNNNNNNNNNNNNNNNNNNNNNNNNNNNNNNNNNNNNNNNNNNNNNNNNNNNNNNNNNNNNNNNNNNNNNNNNNNNNNNNNNNNNNNNNNNNNNNNNNNNNNNNNNNNNNNNNNNNNNNNNNNNNNNNNNNNNNNNNNNNNNNNNNNNNNNNNNNNNNNNNNNNNNNNNNNNNNNNNNNNNNNNNNNNNNNNNNNNNNNNNNNNNNNNNNNNNNNNNNNNNNNNNNNNNNNNNNNNNNNNNNNNNNNNNNNNNNNNNNNNNNNNNNNNNNNNNNNNNNNNNNNNNNNNNNGUAGGAAGGCAGGGAGGUGCGGCGACGGGGCGGGGAGGGUGCGGUGGCGACGGCGCGGGGUGGCAGAGGGAGGAAAGAGGAGAGGAGACAGAGAGAGAGGGGGCGAUGGCGGGGGCGCGGCCCCGUUAAGUCAAUUUUGAAGCUGGUGCCCCCUCUUUGCCGUCUGCUAGCAGACGACAAAGCUUCUUUAUCGUCUGCUAGCGGACGGCAAAGAGUUGGCUGAUGGCAAAGCCUAGCUUUGCCGUCCGCUGCCUCUUUGCGUCUGCUUUCUGGUGGCUGAUGGCAAAGCCUAUCUUUGUCGUCCGCUAGCGGACGACAAAGAGUGGGCAGACGACAAAUCUGUUGAUUCCAGUAGUGAAUUCGUCCUGAAAGCUUUCUUAUGAUUUUUUUCAGGUCAAAAGCCUCCAUAUAGCAGAAGAUGGACACGGGAGACCUGUCAGGGGGCCCACAAGCCGUAGGGGCGUGCCCUGGGGGUAGGGCGCGCCCCCCAGGCUUCUGGCCACCUGGUGGGUCUCCUCUGGUAUUUUAUUCGCUCAAUAAUUUUUAUAUAUUUUAAAAUAAUCCUCCGUAAAUUUUCAGAACUUUUGGAGUUGUGUAGAAUAGGUCUCUUAGAUUUACUCCUUUCCGUUUCAAAAUUUCAGCUGCUAGCAUUCUCCCUCUUCAUAUAAAUCUUGUAAAAUAAGAGAAUAAAUGCAUAAGUAUCGUUCCAUAAUGUGUAAUAGCAUCCCAUAAUACAAUAAAUAUCAACAUAAAAACAUGAUGCGAAAUAGACAUGUCAGCCUCCAUGUGAGACGAUUCCAUAGUGGAUUCAAGACCCCAUCUAAGGAAGAUCUUCUUCCUCCAAGAAUAUUAAGACCUCUCUCCUUCAAGGAUUGAGACGAACUAGUGUCUCUCUUACCUUCUUGUAUUGGAUUUGGACCUUUGUAUCCCUCUAUGUGUAUGUGGAUUUAGCAUAUGUGUGAUUGGAUCUUGUCUAUUUGAGUGUUUAUCUUUGGUUUGCUUUCUUUUUCUCCUCCGAGUGUGAAAAGAUCAUAAACUUAGAGUUCCACCCUACAUCACUAAUCUAGUAUUGGCCGGUGUCUCGGUCCUUGAUUUCCGAUACGUACCCCAUGUCUGCUGCCACACUCCGUGGUACUUCUUCUUCUUCCUCGGUGGUAGGUUCCUCGGGUCGGCUGCACGCCGUAGCGACCUUUGACUACUCGAUCUACUCGAUAUUUCUAUUUUGGGGACGACGCCGCGACGGGAGGUGCGAGGUGGUUGUGGUGCCGGCUUGAUUUGGGUGGCACCCACAUCGAUGCAAUGUGACUUAGGAAGAGAUGUGAUGCCGGGGGAGGUGGAGAUUCAUCUUUGAUAAUGAGCCGCAGCUGAGCAAAAUAAGCAGCGGCUGAUGCGAUGAGUAUAAUUUUUUAGGGGUCAACCCGGAUAAAGGUUCGACUAGGUCCGGUUUAACUCCUGAAAGUUAAACUUUUAAUCAUUUAACCGGCUUUGAGGGAUGACUAGAGAUGCCAUAGGUGCACCUACAUUUACUUAGCCCCAUGGUACAGGCAUAACAACAGAGAUCGAGAAAGCCUUUUUUUAGAUGGAAAGGAAGAAAGCUUAUUUGCUACUGCAUUAAUUGUUACAUCCAACUGAAGACGGCCGGUCUUGAAUCCACUGCGAGAAUUUGAACAGCUAGAGAUACAGAUGAUCAGAUACACAACCGAACAGUUCACAUAAGAUCACAAGAGAGUAGCACACGCGCCUUGUUGCAUUAUAUUACACCACCACCAUCUACACACGAACGGCGUUGCCUGCUUUGCCCAGCGACGGAGACGGGAGAAUCUCCUACUGAAGUGCCGCGACAACGGUAGAUCCUUCCACCUGCACAACGAAUAAGUUCAGAUAGGUUAAUUUAGCCCAAGUCUUCUUUUCCUCGUGACUAUUAUUCCUUCCAAGCUACAUUAAUAAGAAUCAUCAAAGUGCCACAUCUUACCAUGAAGGUUGCACCACAUAUUUCCUCCUCAUCUGCAGGCACAGCGGUGACCUUGUUCUUGGGAUUCUCGUACGACUUGAGGCCUCCAAGAGCGUUCCAGUAGAAGCAACCUUGCGGGAAAGGCGCCAGUGACUUGC